rnacentral:lncRNA from 1 species
UCGUUUCAGUCCAGUGUUCAUAGAGGGUAGAUGCCUUCCAGCUGACCUGGUGGUUCUAGAUUUGAUAGAUUUUGAUGUCAUUCUAGGGAUGGAUUGGCUAUCUGCAUAUGGUGCUACUUUGGACUGUAGAGACAAGGUAGUUAGUCUCAGAGAUCAGGAUGGGUCAGAGUGUGUCUUCAGAGGAGACAGGAGGGGGACACCUAGAGGUUUGAUCUCAGCCCUUCAGGCUCGUCAUUUGCUUAGGAGGGGUUGUCAGGGGUUUCUAGCUCGUGUGAGAGAGCUAGAUAGAUAGGUUAGGGAACCAGCCUCAGUGCCAGUAGUCAGAGAAUUUCCAGACGUCUUCCCAGACGAGCUUCCAGGACUACCACCUAAUAGGGAGCUAGAGUUUGAAAUAGAAUUGCUGUGUGGUACCAGACCUAUCUCUAUUCCUCCCUAUAGGAUGGCGCCAGCAGAGUUAAAAGAGUUGAAAGAGCAGCUGCAAGAGUUGGUAGAUAAGGGUUUCAUCUGCCCUAGUACCUCACCUUAGGGUGCUCCAGUGCUGUUUGUCAGAAAGAAGGAUGGAUCCCUCAGACUUUGUAUCGACUACAGGCAGUUGAAUAAAGUCACUACCAAGAAUAAGUAUCCCCUGCCUAGGAUCGAUGAUCUAUUUGACCAGCUAGCUAGAGCAGGUUGUUUCUCUAAAAUAGAUCUGAGGUCCGGGUAUCAUCAGUUGAGAGUCAGAGAAGCAGAUGUGCCAAAGACAGCUUUCAGGACCAGAUAUGGGCAUUAUGAGUUCUUAGUAAUGCCGUUCGGGUUGACUAAUGCCCCUGCAGCAUUCAUGGAUCUCAUGAACAGAGUUUUCAGUGAGUAUCUGGAUCACUUUGUUAUUGUCUUCAUCGAUGAUAUCUUAGUGUAUUCCAGAGAUGCAGAGGAGCAUGCCCAGCAUCUGAGGAUAGUUCUGCAGACACUGAGAGAGCAUGGAUUAUAUGCCAAGUUCUCGAAGUGUGAAUUUUGGUUGAGGAGCAUUUCAUUCUUGGGGCAUGUGGUAUCAGCAGAAAGCAUUGAGGUAGACCCCAAGAAGAUAGAGGCUGUAGUUAACUGGCUCAGACCCACUACAGUGACUGAGAUUAAAAGCUUUUUGGGUUUGGCAGGUUACUACAGGAGGUUCGUUCAGGACUUCUCCAAGAUAGCUGCUCCGAUGACCAAACUGACUCAGAAGAAUCAGAGGUUCGUGUGGUCGGACCAGUGUGAAGAGAGCUUCGAAGAGUUAAAGAGAAGAUUAACAUCAGCACCGGUGUUAUCUCUGCCCGUCAGUAAUGAGGACUUCACAGUGUUCUGUGAUGCGUCCCGAGUGGGACUGGGUUGUGUUUUGAUGCAGAACGACAGGGUGAUUACUUAUGCUUCUAGACAACUGAAGAAGCACGAGUUGAAUUACCCCACCCAUGACCUAGAGAUGGCGGCAGUUAUCUUUGCACUCAAGAUGUGGAGGCAUUACCUUUAUGGGGUUAAAUGCGAGAUCUUCACCGAUCAUAAGAGUUUACAGUACAUCUUGAGUCAGAAAGAGCUGAAUUUGAGGCAGAGAAGAUGGGUAGAACUACUCAAUGACUAUGAUUGCAAGAUCCAGUAUCAUCCGGGUAAGGCGAAUGUUGUGGCAAACGCCCUAAGCCAGAAAUCACUUGGCAGUUUGUCCCAUAUAGAAGCAGAGAGAAGACCAGUGGUGAUGGAGUUUUAUAAGCUCCUCGACGAAGGGCUACAGCUAGAGUUGUCUGGUACGGGUGCGUUGAUAGCACAGAUGAGAGUGACACCAGUGUUUCUGGAGCAGGUGGCUCAAAAACAGCAUGAGGACCCUGAGUUAGUUAAAAUUGCCAGGACUGUUCAGUCAGGCAAUAGUGCAGAGUUCAGAUUUGACAGCAAAGGGAUCCUCCGCUAUGGGAAUCGACUAUGUGUACCAGAUGACAUGAAUCUGAAAGGAGACAUUAUGAGGGAAGCUCAUAAUGCAAGGUACAGUGUUCACCCUGGAGCCACCAAGAUGUAUCAGGAUCUGAAAAGAGUGUAUUGGUGGCCAGCUAUGAAGAAAGAAGUGGCACAGUUUGUGUCCGCCUGUGAAAUUUGCCAGAGGGUGAAACUGGAACAUCAGAAGUCGGCUGGAAUGCUUAAUCCACUGCCAAUUCCAGAGUGGAAAUGGGAGAACAUAGCUAUGGAUUUUGUAGUGGGGUUACCGGCAGUGUCCAAUAGGGUAGACUCCAUAUGGGUGAUCGUGGACAGACUGACUAAAUCUGCUCAUUUCAUCCCUGUUAGGAGUAAUUACUCUGUGGAUAAGUUGGCACAAGUUUAUUUGGAGGAGAUCGUAAGAUUGCAUGGGGUUCCAGUGUCUAUAGUGUCAGACAGAGGGCCUCAGUUCACCUCCAGAUUUUGGCGAAGUCUGCAAAGUGCUAUGGGCACAAGAUUGGAUUUUAGCACUUCUUUCCAUCCACAGACUGACGGACAAUCAGAGAGGACCAUCCAGACCAUAGAGGAUAUGCUUAGAAUGUGUGUGUUAGACUUUGGCGGUUCUUGGAGGCAGCAUCUACCUUUGGUGGAGUUUGCUUAUAAUAACAGCCAUCAUGCUAGCAUAGGGAUGGCCCCUUAUGAAGCUUUGUAUGGGAGGAAGUGCAUAUCACCUGUUUGCUGGGAAGAAGUGGGAGAGAAGGCUCUUGCAGGGCCAGCACUAGUGGAAAUCACCAGCAGAGUGGUGCCCAUUAUCAGAGAGAGAAUUAGAACUGUUGUGAGCAGGCAGAAAAGCUAUGCAGAUAUCCGCCGGAAGUAGAUAGAGUUUCAGGAGGGUGAUAUGGUAUUGCUGAAGGUGUCUCCAAUGAAGGGAGUGGUCCGGUUUGAGAAGAAAGGUAAGCUAGCUCCACGGUACAUUGGACCCUUUGAGAUCUUGCAGAAGAUCGGGAAUGUGUCGUAUAAGCUGGAUUUACUUGCUUCUAUGGAAAGAAUUCACCCGGUUUUCCAUGUUUCUAUGCUACGGAAGUUCGUGUCAGAUCCGAGUAAGGUUCUGAGUGAGCCUGAUAUAGAGAUCCUUGGAGAUCUCACCUAUGUAGAGCAGCCAGUACGGAUCCUAGACACGCAGAUCAAAAAGUUGAGGAACAAGGAAAUUCCGAUGGUGAAAGUCCUUUGGAACCACCAUAAUCUAGAAGAGUGCACCUGGGAGACACGGGAGUCUAUGCUUCAGCAAUAUCCAUAUCUGUUUUAAGGUUAGUUUUCCUCCUUUUUAUGUGUUUAAUUGUUUGAGGAACAUUCGGGGACGAAUGUUCUUAAGGGGGGGAGAAUGUAAUACCCGGCUAGAGUCCGGCAUCGGAAUUCUACUUUCCGGUGGACUUUAGGAUGUCGGAACCCUCAAGAAGGGUAAGAUUUAUAUUUUUCGAAAGUAUUUUAUAUGUUAAGUGUAAAAGGAAACGAGUUUUUGAACGAAAAGCACCAAGGAGGAAAUGCCAGGUUCGGCCGCCGAAGGUGAAGUUCAGCCGCCGAAUAUACAUGAGUUUGAAAUCACGUUAGGCCGCCGAAAGUGGUCUGGCCAGCCACCUAUAAAAGGCCCUAGGUCGGUGAAUGGAUAAGAUUUCUUCCAUUUUCACAGACAGAGGUGAGACCAUGCUCUUCCUUGGAUGAUCUUCAUGUUUUCUUCAAAUCUUUCAAAGUUUUGAUGGGUUUUAUGUUGUUUUGAAGCUUUUGAGCAAAUCAACCAAAAGUUUUGAAGUUGGAGACUUUGAGGGAGAGUUUCUCCAUAUCUCCACGUUGGGAUCGUUUAUCUUCUUGUUGGUAAGAGGUAAGUGAAGAUCCUGAACUUCUUUUCAUGUUUUAUGAAGGUUUUAUGGAGUUUUAUGGGUAGAGAUGCAUGUUUAGGUUAAGUUGAGGUUUUGGUUGAUUUGUGGUCAAAGCAUACUUAUGUGGUUAGUUGUGUUGUUUGUUGGAGUUUUAAGUUAGUUUUGGACCCCUUUGUGCCUAUACUUGAGUAUCUGCAGGUUGUGGAAUUUUGGGUUGCAUGUUUGAGUGAGGCUGGGUAAGUUUUGCUUGAGGCAGAGCAGGGUUCUGCCUUACUGGAGAACCCAGUUUCAGUCGCCGAAGGAAGGUUCGGCCGCCGAAGGAAGGUUUGGCCGCCGAAUGAAGGUUCGGCCGCCGAACAUGCUAAGGAGGUGGUUUCGGCUGCCUAAGCUUGCCUAAACUUGCCCCCGAAAGUUUGGACUUUCGGCUCUAGAGGGGGGGUUUUGGCCGCCGAAGGUUGGGGACUUUCGUCUCUGGGGAGGACUUUUGGCAGCCGAAAUGCCGCCGAAAGUGCCUGAGUUUCGGCUCUGGAAGGGACUUUCGGCCGCCGAACCUGCCGCCGAAAGUGCCCUGUCCAGCCUUCUUUUGCAUGCUUUAUGUGAUUGUUUUAGGAUGUUUUAGGAGGGUUUUGGAGAGUUUUAUAGAGUUGUUCUUGAGCUAGUUUGGUCCCUCAUUUGAGUCCACCUGUGUAGGAAUGGACCUAAGGAACCGAAGAGAGCAGCAGUAAGCACUGCUUCAGAGUAUUCAGAGUCAAUUCAGAGUCAGCCAGAGGUGAGUGGAACUAAACUUAAUGUUUUAAAUUGAGAAAUUAAAUGCUUUUAGCAUGUUCCAUGCAUCAUGAUAUGUUAUAGGUUGAGUGCACUAGACUACACUAAUGUGAUGCAUUGCAUUAUUCUAUGCUUGUACGGAUCGGACAUAGUUUGAUUUCAUUAGCCCUCGUAGUAAAGUCCUGAGGAGCCCUGAGAGGGCCGGGCACAGAGCACCAUAGGGUGCGUAAUAAAGUCCUGAGGAGCUCCUUCGCGGGCCGGGCACAGAUUGAGGGAAUUUUGAAUCAGUCCGUCUGAGAUGGGUGAUUUACUUGUGAUGUGAUGCAUUCCAUGUAAGCAUGUUUUAUUUACAUGUUUGAUCCGUUCUACUCACUGGGCUAUAGUAGCUCAUCCCUCUCCUUAAUCCCAGUCUUGCAGGAUUAGAGGUCAGGGGAAGUUCAGCAGGGUAUAGGAAGAGUAAAGAGCUUUGUAAUAGCAUAGUGUGGACAUGUACUCUUGUAAAGAGAUGUAUUAGUUUUGUAUAGAGUUUAGUAGUGUGCUUGACCCAUAUGUAUUGUAAAUCCCUUUUGUAUACAUGGUUUGUUUUAUGUAAAUGUUUUUAUGAGUAUGUGAAAAUCAGGCUUAACAUGUAUGAGUUUAACCCGUCUAGAGCAAGCUCUAGUAAGAGGUUCUGUAGUACAGAGAUAGUGCAUGCACAGGUUGAGCCUUGGUUUAGAGAAGAGUUUUAUGUUUUUACAGAAAAUGUAUGAUCAUGUAUGGGAUUUUACAGGUAUACAGAGAGUAUAGCAGGUUUGCUACGGGUCUCGGUGACCUUAAGUCGACCUGGAUCCUAGCGCCGGUAGCGGUCCGAUUUUCGGAUCGUUACAAGCGAUGUCCCUUUCAUACUAACAGAGCCAGAUGUAGAUCGUCUUUACAAAAAAUUUCAAAUUUCUUGAGAGACUUUUCGUGUCUUUUCUCCGUCCUUGAGCGUUUGUGUGAAUGAUCAGAUCCCUACAGAGGAUACGAUCAUAAUCUAUGAAGAGAAAAUAAAGGCAGGUCUUCGGUUUCCAAUGGACUCAUUCUUUGAUGAGGUCCUACGGUUCCAUAAACUUUCGAUCGCCCAGCUGCAUCCCAACAGCUAGAGAAUCCUGGUACCUUCCGGCUUGUUUAUUUUAAUAAUAACAUUGAGUUGAGUGUGGCCUUCUUCUCUCAACUGUAUCAGUUGGGCAUUCGAAGAAAUGAGGAGUUCUAAUUUUCAGUGGGAGGAAACACUAAAUGAUGCUUGAUCGGAUACCUUCUUCAUUAAAGUGAUGGAAGAAAAAGUUUUUUGUCCUUCACCACCGGACAUCCAGGGGUUUUGGACGAAAAAAUUUUUUGUCCUCCACCACCGGACAUCCAGGGGUUUUGGAUGCCUCCGAACAAGCUAGAAUAUGUGGGUGGAGCUGAGGAAGGAUGGUGUCCAGCCACGGAGGAAUGAGGAUGAGGCUUUAGGGUUUCUCUUAAUGAUGGCUAAGUCCCCGCAGAAAAUGGACAUCACUAAGGCGGUAAGGAAUGUCAUCUUAUCUUAGCAAAUCCUUUUUCAGGCGAACCAGGCUCGGGUUUCUCACCCGCCCAGCCAUUAUUGUCUUGGGGAAAGCACCUCUUUAGCAAGCGAGCAGGGUAUCUUUCUUUUCUUCUUCUCUUGUACUUUAGACUACCUUACUUGCUCAAUUUUUAUUAUGUGCAAAUAUGGCUAGAAAAAAGAAUAAGUUUGCUGAGGUGACUCGUGCUGCCCGUAAGGGCAAAGUUGUUCCUGGGGCAAUCGGUCCCCUUCCCAAGCGUGCUCGUCGAGCGAAAGAAGUAAUCAUAUUUCCUCCUCCUCCUCCCCCAACUAUGAUAGAAGAGUUGGCUUAUUAGCAGCCUAAGUCUUCUACAAAGGGUGCCUCUGUAUCUGUCCUAGUUUCUGAGCCUUCUAUUGUAGUCUCCACUUCUACUGAGCCCAUUCCUGUGAAUGUGAGGGUUGAUUUCUCGUGGCCUCCUAGCAUCUAACGCCAGGCGCUAGCACUAACCCGAAUGCCCUCUCUCUUUGAAGAUCUCAGCUUGGUCGUCCUAUUAACCAAGAAUGCUCUGAGACCCAAGGACCGUCGUCGCUUUAACGAGGUCGAAACAAAUGAGCUUUUUGACAACGUAAUGCAUUCUGCCCUAAGGAAUGCCCUUUGUGCCUGUAUGGCCAAAGAACGUAAUAAGAUCCUGAGGUGGGAGUUUGGUGCUCAAGAAAUAGACAGAAGACUCCUGGCAGAGGAACGCUUGAGGCUAAAGAAUCGAGUUGACGAAGUGGAAGGCAUAAUGAAAGAGAACUUGGAGUCAGUAGAUAAACUCUAGGCAGACCUGGGUGAGGCCAAGGCUUUCAAACUUUCCCUUGAGAAUUAGACUAUGAGUGCUGAGGAUCAAGUUGCCAUGCUUCAGCGCCAAGUCCAGGAGCUGCAAUCUCAAGUUGAGGGAAACUGGGCCACCUCCAACAAAAUUGCUGAAUUAGAGGCCGAGCUUCAAGAGACGGUGGCUCCGGGAGGAGAGAUGUUCGUCGAGGGCUGAGACUUAGUUAAGAAGGAGUUGGUGAAGUGGUUUCCUUUUGAGGACUUUUCUUGGAUAGAUGACAUCCUUUCAGAAGAGGAAAAGGGCAAGGACGAGCAAAAAGAGGAGAGGAUUGACGAUAUCGAUCGAUUCCCUACGAAAAAUGUAAUAGAUGUAGGGAAUGUUGAUGUAAUAGAGACUCCUGAAGUCAUCCCUCCUCCUUUGUAAUAUUUUGAUUUUUUAAUGGAAAUAUUUUCUUACAUAUCAUUAUUAUCUUUGUGUACUUGUAUGAUUGGUACUCGCCCAUAAGCCUCUUCCAUUUAUUGUCAAUCUAGACUUGAAUAAUUAAUAAAAAAAAAAUGCUAAGGCUUUAACACCCGAUCAUAGCACCUGGUCAUUGGUCUAACUAUUGGCCAUAAAAUAACUCACCUUUUUUGUAAAAUAGGGCCAACAUCCAGACAUGUGACCUGGCGAAUAUCCACCUUACAACUUGAGCAUGAAAUGGUUUAGAGAAAUUUCUACAUGGGACUAACACCCAGUCAUUAAACUUGGUGGAUACCUGCCUUGCAGCUUGGGCGUCAAAUGCCUUAGAAACUUUUAUAUGGGACUAAUACCCGAUCUUCUAGCCUGGCAGAUACUCGCCUUGUGGCUUGCCAUCAAAUGCCUUAGAAAAUUAUGUGUAGGACCAACAUCUGGUCGUUGAGCCUAGCAGAUACUCGCCUUGUGGCUUGGCAUCAAAUGCCUUAGAAAAUUUUGUAUGAGACUAAAACUUGGUCUUCUGGCCUUGAUUAGUUGGUCCAAUGCCCAGUCUUCAGGCUUGGCAUGAGUGCCUUAAAUAGUAGGACUAACACAUAGUCUUUUGCCUAGAUUAAUGGGUCCAAUGCCCGAUCUUCUGGCAUGGUAGGUUCUCCCCUUGUGGCCUAGCAUGAGUGCCUUAAUUAGUGAGUCCAACGCCCAGUCUUUUGGUCUGGCGAGUUCCCACCUUAUGUUUCACGGUCCUUAAGUGAUCAAUUCACAAACAGCUUGAAAUUUUUGUGGAACCGUGCAGCCUUAGUCUGCCUAAGACUAAGUCAACCUACCAUAGCUCUUUAACACAAAACUGCAAAGAGUAUUUGUCAAUGGAAGCUAAGUAUAGAGAAGGAGUUGGAGUUCAACACCGAUGAAAGGAAGAAAUAUCUUGUAUUACUUACAAACAAAUGAUUUACAAAUAUGGCUUUGGCUAGCUUACAAGGGGUUCUCUUCUUGCACUAUCACUAUUACUGUUACUUACAAAUGAAUACAAAUGGGGUACUUAUAGGUUGCUAGCCAACCUAUCUUAUGGUAGAGGAAGAAGUUCUAGAAUAUUAUAAAAUAAAGAAAAAAUACAAAUAAAUGGGAGCCACAUAAAUUAGGAGACAAUUCUGGAAAGUUGUGAUCCCUAUCGAACUUCUCCUCUUGAAGUUGCUUGUGCGUCCCUCCAGCUUUGGCUCUAGACUCCCUCAGCAACUUCUAGAAGAUUCGGGUUGCACAUAGUAGUCUUGCUUUCUUCUUACGCACUUUGCAAACCAGCUCGUUCUAAGUUUUUUUCCAGAGCUUAGCUAUAUUCGAUCUGGGUGAUAUAGUUUCGCGCUUUUAGGCUUUCGAGUUCCUCCAGCCCUGCUGAGUGUUCAGGUUACCUCUUGUCUUAUCCAGGCUUGUCGAUCAUCCGGGCUACCUCUUAUCUUGUCCAGGCUUGACGAGCAUCCCGGCCACCUGCACUGUCUUCACAAUACUCACCUGGCAAGUCUCCCUGCUUGUUAGCUCAUUCUAUUCAGCAGGUCGUCUCGCCAGCACUAAGAAUGAGCAUUCGAUUGGUUCGAUUCAAAAUCAAACCGAAUCAAAUAAACUGAAAAUUAAAAUUUUAGUAUUUAUGAAAAUCGAACCGAAUUAAUUUUGAUCAGAAAUCGAAUCGAACUGAACCGGUCUGAUUCAGUUUGAUUCAAUUCGAUUUGAUCGGUUUGAAUUUUUAAUAAAUUUUUUAUUUUUUACACUUUAUUUUUAGUAUUUUAAAAUUUAAUUGAAAUAUGUUAACCUUAAUAUGAUCUAAUCUCUCUAUAUUAUUGAAAAUAAUAUAUUAUUAUAACUAAUCGAUUCGGUUUGGUUUUUUCAUUUUUUCUGAUCAAAAUUGAAUUGAACUGAAAUAACUGAAAUUUGAAAUUAAAAACUGAAAAGAAUUGAAAUGAAUAAAAAAUCAAACUGAAUUUUUAAAUUAAUUCGGUUCGAUUGAUUUUUUCAGUUUGAACCGAAUACUGCUCACCCCUCUAGCCAGCGCUAACAUCAAAAGUCUUGCCUGACCUCAAAUGUCCUUCUUUCAAAAUUGCAAAAAAUUUUUGGAUUUUCUUGGAGCGAUGGAAGAGUUGUGACAUGUGGCCUGGCAUGAAUGAUUAAUGGGUCCAAUGCACGGUCUUCUAGCUUGAUAGGUUUCCGCCUGGUGGCUUGGCAUGAGUGCUGAUAGAGCAUAAUUUAGACCAUUUUAUCAUGAUAUUAUUGAUGUUUAUUUAUGCCUUUUCUGCCUAAUUUUGUGGUUUUGAUCUUAUUUUGCAGAAGAUAGGUGUAGAGAGACAAUCUGGUGAAAAUGCUCUUAAAAGUGCCAAAAAGUGCCAAAUAUGGAAAAUGCCAAAUAUAGAAAGUGUCAAAUAAGGAAAGUGCAGAAGCAAAAACAGAUAAGGAAAGCGUAAUCAGUAGAUUAUUUGAAAUUCAAAUUGCAGAUCUUUCUUUCCUUGUUUAAACAGAUUAUUUGAAAUUCAAAUUGCAAAUCUUUCUUUUCUUGUUUAAAGAUGUGCAGACACCUCAGCAGUCAGUUCUUCCUAUUUAGGAAGCGAGAUCUCAAAAAGAUGCACUUGCCUCUCAUGCAUUCAGUAUUCAAAAUUUGAAAUUCAAAAGAAGGCUCCACCUAAAAAGGAAAGUUUGGACAGCACCUCUUCUCUUCUGCAAAUCCUAGCCGCGCGCCACACCUAUUCUGAAGACAAGCCACGCGCCUUCUUCCUUCUGAAAGCCUUUCCGUACGCCUCCUUCCUUUUCAGACACAACUUGGGCAGCAAGCAGCCUGUUGGGCAGCAAGUAAGGACUUAGGGCAACACUUUUAACUAUAAAAAGACACAUAAGGAGCCUCUCCAUACUUUUUCUACUCUCCCUUGGACACACCUAUGGGAUUGCAAGUGGCACCAUCUCUUCUUCUUCCUUUCUUUAUUUUCUUAUUUUGUUUCAGCCAUGGGUGGUUGAAACCUCUUAUUCUAGUUGAAGAUUAGGUGAUACUUUGGUUGUUUUAUGGAUUGGGAGACUUGAUCAUAUAUUGUUCAUCUUUUGGUUAUUCAAUAUUUGUGCAAUUUCAUGCUUGAUUCCAUUAUUGCUUUGUUAUUUUGAUCAAUGUGGCUAGUUGAUUCUUGAUUGCAAGGUAAUAUAUUAUUAGUUUGAAUAAUUUUGAGUUCGUAAUUACUUGGAUUGUUCAAACACAAGAACACUUGGUGUAAAAACUAAGGAAGUUGCAUAAUCUAGCAAUAUCACCAUGCAUUUGGGUAGCUAGGAUUAGAUCUCUCUAUUUCUUAAUGCAAUUGACAGUUGUUUUGAUGCCUAAGGCCCAAUGACGUUCCUUGGCAACGAGUUGAUUAGUGAUUAAUUAGAGGACGUUCUCUAAUUGGUUUAUAAUUAAGGAGAGACAUGGUGGUGAGAAGUGUCUUCCAUCUCCAUAACUAAUCUAUUGAAUCUAUCAAGGGAAACUAAGUGUCAAUGAUCAAUUCCAACAACUGAAGUAGAUCCAAUUCUUCAACUAGAUCUUUCUUAUUAUUGAUUUCUCUUUAAUUUUAAUUAUUCGCUUAUUUUAUUGCUUUCAGUCUCAGUUCAAUUCAAUCGAUCUCAAAAUCCCCCUUUUUACUUUUAUUGCACUUUAUUUUUAUUUUACUUUCAGUUUUUUUGCUUUCAGUUAAUUCUCUUAGUUGUGAUAAGAAAGAUAGGUGAGUUUUCAAUUUCCUGUGGAUUCGAUCCUUUCACCACUAUCUGCAGUAGUAAUAUUGUUGAUAACUAAAAAGGUUAUUUUUGACCGGCUUUGACAACCGCGAGUCAAGUGCCUUAAUUAUUGGUUCCAAUACCCAAUCUUCUAGCCUGGCGGGUUCUAGGCUUGUGGCCUGGUAUGAGUGCCUUGAUUAGUGUGUUUAAUGCCUGAUCUUUUGGCUUGGCUAGUUCCAACCUUGUGGCCUGACAUGAGUGUCUUGAUUAGUGGCUCCAACGCCCGGUCUUCUGACUUAGCGGAUUCCCACCUUGUGGCCUUCAAUGAAUGCCCCUUAAUUUUUUUUGAAGAAAAUAAUCACAUCAUUCCUUGUCUCUAAAGAACACAACAUAUGAAAAAAUAUAUCCUUAACUGCUACUAUAAAAUUUUCUCAGGUUACAAAUAUCUCAUGACUCGGCCAUCUAACUUGACCAGCUUAUAAGAUCCUAAGUGAAUAAAUUUCGAGACCCUAAAUAGUCCUUUUUAGUUUCUGAUCAGACCAAAUUUAGACCAUUUUAUUAUGUUGUUAUUAAUGUUAAUUUGCACAUCUUCUGCCUAAUUUUAUGGUUUUGAUCUUAUUUUGGAGAAAAUUGUGUAAAGAGGUAAUUUGGUGAAAAUGUUCUUAAAACUACCUAAAAUAGGACAAAGGAGAACAAGCAUGUUUGCACAAGCCAAGUUACAGCUGAAGAGGAGAUAAAUAAGGAAAGUAUAUUCAGCAGAGUAAUUUAAAAUUCAAAUCUUUAAGAAGUCUUUCCCUUAUUGAGGAAGCCAAAUCUCAAGAAGAUGCUCUUGCCUCCCAAGGAUUCAGAAUUCAAAAUUCAAAAUUUAAAAUUCAAAAGAAGGCUCCACCUCAUCAAGAAAACCUAAGGCAACACCUUUCAUCUAUAAAAGAGAACAUAAGGAGCCGCCCCACCCUAGGACUCUUCUCCCAUUUGGCGCACACCUCUCUCGAAAGCCAAGCCGCUGGCCACACUUCUUUUCUCCUUCUCUUUCUUUUAUUUUGUGUUUUGUUUCAGCCAGGAGUGGCUGAAACCUUUUUUUCUAGUUGAAGAUUAGGUGAAACUUUAGUUGCUUUAUGGAUUGGGAGAUCUGAACAUACAUUGUUUAUCUUUUAUUUUUCAAUAUUUAUGCAAUUUCAUGCUUAAUUCUAUUGUUGCUUUGUGGUUUAGAUCAAUAGGACCAAUUGAUUCUUGAUUGCAAGGUAAUACUUUGUUAGUUUGGAUAGUUUUAAGUCCGUAAUUGCUUGAAUUAUUCAAACACAAGUAACUCUUGGUGUAAAAACUAAGGAAAUUGCAUGAUCUAGCAAUAUCACCAUGCAUUUGGGUAGCUAGAGUUAGGUCUCUCUAUUUCUUAAUGCAAUUGACAGUUGUUAGAUGUCAAAGGCCCAAGGACGUUCCUUGGCAACUUGUUGAUUAGUGAUUAGUUAGAGGACGUUCCCUAAUUAAUUUAUGCUUAAGGAGGGAUAUGGUGGUGAGAAGCAUCUUUCACCUCCAUAACUAAUUUAUUGAAUCAAAUAAAGGAAUCUUUGUGUCAAUGAUCAAUCCCAACAACUGAAGUGGAUCCAAUUCUUCAACUAGAGCUUUUUCUCAUAUUUGAAUUCCUUUACUUUAAUUAUUUGCUUUACUUUAUUGCUUUCAGUAUUAGUUUAACUCAUCAAUCUCAAAACUCCCCCCUUUUAUUUUACUUUCAGUUUAUUUACUUGGUCUUGAUAAGGAAAAUAGGUAAGUAUCAAUUCCCUAUGGAUUUGAUCCUUUUGCCACUAUCUGCAGUUGUAAAAUUGUUGAUAACCAAAAAUGUUAUUUUUGACCGGCUUCGACAACCGCACAGUCAGUUUCUAUCGAGCUUACCAGUUUGCUUGCUAUAUCUCCUGUUAUUUUGCUUAUUUUUUCUGAUCGUCAUUAGGUCCUUCUGCAGUUACAUGAAUAAUCUCCACAGGCUCCCUGUCAAGAGGUGGUUUCAUAACUAAUUGCCUCAAGUUCAGAUCUCCUCUCUUCGCUUCACUUUUUAGCGAACUUUCAAAGAGUGUCAUCCCUUAUUAACCCCUCGAUCUCAUCUUUCAGUUAUCAACACUCUUAUGUUGUUUGAUAGUGGUCUUCGUAACAACAGCAGUACUAGGUCCUAUCUUGUCUUUCUGCUCUCUCGGGAUUGAGCUUGGAUGACCACCUGACCUCCUUGUCAUUUUUUCUUAUUUAUAUUAGAAUAUGUGUCCAUGAGUCAUUCAAUGGAGUAUAAUUCUUAUACUUACUUUGGUCAUCCCUCCUUUGGGAGAUGGGAUAACUCUUAUAGUCUCCUUCAUAUCCUUGCUUCUCCGACUUUUGGCUUUGCUUUUGAUUUGCUCUCUUCUCCUCUUUCACUUCUUGGACUUCGUCAUCUAGCCUGAUAUACUUUUGGGCUUUUUCCAUCAACUAUUGAUACAUAGUGGUUGGGUUCUUGAUUAAGGAAUCCAUGAACUUGAUGUUGCGUAUUCCUUUCUUUAAUACUUCACAUUCUAUCUCAUGGUUUAACUCCUCUAACUAUAUUGCUUUCACAUUAAACCGUGAGAUAAAGCUCCUUAAUGACUUGCCCUCUCCUUGGCGAAUCUUCUGCAAGUUAGAGGAGAGUUUUUUAGAAGGUAUACGAGUAAUAAAUCUAGAUAUAAAUAACAUAGCGAACUGCGUAAAGUUUUGAAUUAAUCUGGGCUCAAAUACUGGUACUAUUUCUGAGCUAAACCUGUGAGUGUUGACCGAAACACUCGGCACAACACGAAGUCAUUGACAUUUUGAAACUGCAUGGUCAUCCUAAAGAUCGCCAAGUGACUUCUGGGAUCUACUAUUCCAUCAUAUUUGUCCAAACUAGGCAGCUUGAACUUGAUUGGGAAUAUUUCUGCUAAGAUUUCUUCCGAAAGAGGCGAGGCACUAUUAAGGCCAAAGUCCUCUUCUUGCUCCUUCUAGUACCUUUGAACAGCUCGUACCAGCUUUCAAUUGAUGUCUUUUGGAGCACCAUUUGAUUCAUCUUUUUUGAACUCGGUCUUCCAUUUGGACUGCAUUUGACAGCUUCUAUCUGAAUCCUCAGGGUGUCUACGGAAGCUUCCUCCCUUCCCCUGGGAGCCAUAUAUGACACCUCCCCUCAAGCCUUGUACUGCUCGAGGGUAGCUUACAAUCUUUAAAUGUAUUGCAGCAUUUGCUUGUUGUUCAAAUUAUUGAGAUCUGCUUCAUUGACCAUUGAGGAUGUAUUUUUUCUAUUGCGAAGGGUGGAAGAAAUGAAAGCGCCCUUAUUGAUAGAAACCUUAGCAGCAACUCAUGAACUACCAGCCAUUUUGAGAGAAAGAAGAGAGAGAUUUUUUUUCUAAGAAAAAAAGGAAUAAGAGACAGGCUUUAAUCUAAAUGAAUAGAAAAAAUUCAAUGGAUUUUUCGGCAAUGGAACUAAAUGAUGUUGUUGAAACCAAGUUGAUGAUGUGGCCGAGAAAUGAAAUUGUGUUGUGAUUGAUCAAUCUUGCAAGAAAGAGAGAGAGUAAGGUGGUUGACGCCUGUGACAGCCACUCCGAUACUCAAGUCAAUAAACUGGAUAAUAAAGUGAGUAUAAAGAUUAGCUUAGAAUACAAAAAAGUAGUUGUAUAAGAAUUGCGUACCUUUAUUUCUAUGAUCCUUAGCUUUUAUACUGUAAAAGAGUGGAGUUAAUUACAGUAUUUUCUGAAAAUCCGGCACUGAUGUGGUUGGCUAUUUGAUAAGGGAUAUCGCUAGCUAAUCAGCCGGUGAUCCUGCAAUUACAAAUGUAAUGAAGAUCUGCUGAAGAGAUCCUGCUAAUGGCAACUUUAUGUAAAGACCCAAUCUUGUCAGAGAAUGGCAAGUGUUAUUGAAGAACUGAGUGUAACGGUAUUUGGGUUUUCCUUUUCUUAGGUAGAACUGCAUAUCGGCUUAUUAAACUAUAGUCACAUGACCUUGUCUUAUAGUAACAGCUCAUGACUAAGAAGGGCGAGUCUUGUUGGACUAAAUGUAACGAUGUCCGGAUCUUUCUUUUAUCGGGUGGAAUCGUGUAUCAUUUUAUCAAAAUAUUAAUACGUGACCCUAUUUUAUAGUUGACAAUUCAAAGUUUAUUUUGAAAGAUUGUUAUGUAAUAUUAUUUUUUUUUAGCAAGAAAAAAACUAAAAGACUGUAAUUAGACCCUAACUUCUAUAAAAUAGAAAUUUUUUUUUUACUAUUAAUCUCCAAUUUUUCUUGGACUCUUCAAAAUUUUAGAUUUUAUAUUAAAAGCAAAAGAAUUGCAUCACUAAUUUCUCACUGAAAACAAAUUUUAUAUUUUCAACUCAUUAUCAUCCCUACAGCAAUAUUGAUUGGUCGAAUAUUUUUUUAUACUUAUUUAAUGGUGUAGAAAAGUAUGUAGUCCAAGAUUUUAUUCCCGCCAGAUACAUGUAUUUGCAGUUUUAAAUUUUAUAUCAAUCAAAAUAUAUUGUGACAUUUUAAAUUUGAAAAACAUUUCACCACACAUUUAAAAAAUAUAAUUAAAAUAAUUUCAAUAACAUUAAUAUAAAAUAAUAUGAACUAUAAAUAUGUUGAUAUAUAUUUAUAAAUUUAAAUUUCUGUUUAAAUUAAUUAUUAAUAGUUAAUAAUAAUAAUUAAUAAAUUUAAAAAUAUUAAAACCUAGGUUAUAUAUUUUUUUUAAUUUUAAAAACCUUCUCUUUAAAUUUAAAGUCUAAAAAAAUAUUUUAAAAAAUUUAUACCAUUUACAAAUGAAAUUGAAAAUUUAUUUAAAUUUUUUACUUUUAAAUAUAUUAUAUGAUAUUUUUAAAAUUAAAAAUGUCUUUUUUUAAAUAAAAUUUAAAGAUAAAAAUAUAUAUUAGAUGAUUUUAUUAUGUUUCAAAAUAUAAAUAUGGCUUGUAGGCCAAAAGGCAUUGCGUCAUCCAUUUGCUGGCAAGGGACGUUACAGUCAUGUACUUACACAAUCAAAAGAUAAAAAGUUAUUUGUCUUUUUCAUAUGUUUUUUUGCCCUUUUUUAGUCGGUAUCAGACCAUCUCACAUGUGCUGUCUUCCUGCUUCUCGUUUAUUUAAGUGCUAUGUGGGAAAGUUCAAUUUUUUAUUUUAAAUUUUGACGGAAUAUAUCAUCUUGGUUCAUUAACUUUUAAAAAUUGUAAUUAUUUACUUUGUAGAAAAGUUCUCUCUCCGUAAAAAGUUAAAAAUUUUCAUUAAUUUAAAUGUAUCAUUCAAUUAUAAAGUGGAGAUAAAAAGUAUUAAAUUUUAUUUUUUAAUUUAAAUUAUUUUUAAAUUAUAAUUAAAAUAAUAAAUAAAAUUAUCACUUAUUAAAAUUUAAGUGUGAACUAUAUUGUAUUUAAUUUAUUUAAUUUUUUAAUAAUAUUGAAAAGUCAAAUUUAAACUGAAAAAAUAAAAUUUAAUAUUUUUAACUCUUAUAUUAUUUAGAAGCAAAUUUUAACGUUUUUGUCAUUCUCUUUUCAACAGCCAACAUUACACAUAAUAUUGGUUAGUAAUCUAUCAAAUACGCUUAAAGAAUUUUUUUCUAAGGGUGCAAUGCUAUAAAAUUAGUUAAAUAUAUAAUUAUUUCCUACUAAUAUAAUGUUAAAAAUAAUAUAAUUUUUAUGGGGAUAAUAACUAAAAUAAAUAGUAUAUAGGUAUCAUCAUAUGGAAUUUGGAUAAGAAUCUAGAUACUUUCUACUCUUUACUUUUUUAUUACGAGUGAAGAAAUUAUAUGUAACAAAUUUAAAUUAUAGGAUUGCAAUAUAGAGGAAAUUAUUAUGGCUCGGAAUUUUAUUAAAAUUAAUUAUUAAACCCUUCUAAUUUUAAGUAUCCUUCAUUAAUUUAAAUAGAACUAAAUUAUUCUUCUAUGAAAUAGUCUAUUAAUCUAAAGGGAAAAACAUCAACCAAAGGAAAGAGAGUAUAAACUCGGAAACGAGACAGAUAAUAGGAUAAAGGUUGGUGAAUGAGAUAAUGGGAGAAAUUAUGAAGCUAAAAGAAGAGAAAAAAGCAAUGAAAAAGAAGCUUGAAGGGAUUGAGAUGUAUUUAGGAUAUUUGAAGUCAGUUGUGUUCAUUUUGCUCUGUUAAUUUCUUAUACUGUUGUAAAAAAUAUUUAGAUGUGGCUUGUAAUUUUUUAUGGAAUAGUUAAUAAAAAUUGGUUAACCUUUUGUUGAAAUUAUGCAUGCUCUCUUUUAGGAAAUCGGUAACAGUACAUGCCUUGUUUCUGGUGUUAGAGAGCUACUAGUAUGGGUUGGGGAUAGGAACCUUUUAAUAUUUACAAUUACAAAAUAGGGACUGAAUAGUUUUAAAAAUUAAAAGUGAGGGACUUAGUAGUUUGAAUGGAUAUUGAAUUUCCUUUGAGAAUUAAGAUUAACUUUCAAGUAAUGAUUACAUAAUUUUCUUUCAGAAUCUAUAUUCAAUAAUUAUAACUGAAUAUAUAAACCUUAUUAACAUUUAUAAUUCAAGUAUAUGAAUAGCUAAAUAAACUCAAAAUGAAAGAAAAAUAAACUCAAUCCAGCCAUAUAAAUAAAAUAGUCCUUGGUGUCAAAAAUUCUAAUCUUUAUGUGGUUUUGGGAUUUAAUCUUUCACCUUUUAAUUUUAGCAUAAUAAACUAAUUUUUAAAAAUUUUUAACCUUUUUAUUUAAAUUUCAAAUUGGAAUGAUGAAAAGUAUGUGCUUAUUUAUGUGGCAGGUAACUUGAAAUUAUUUAUUAUUAUUUUAUAUAUCAUAUACCACACAUCACACAACUCUAAUAAAUACAUAAAUAACUACGGUUAACUUAAAAUAUAUUGAAUUAAUUUAACUACAAAAAGGCAAACCAUAAUCACUAAAUUGGAAAACGUAAAUCUUAAUCAAUUAAAAUCUCUAAAUUGAAACGGUUGGAGAGAGUUGUUUGGAGAGAUAAACUGAAUCUGCAUGUUGAAGGAAAGAGCGAUAUGCGUGGAACACAAAAUGGAAGGCUAUUUAGCUGCAACGAAGGAGAACUGCAUUGGGUUCACCAAGAACAAGUAUUGAAGGCUAUCUAGCGAGGCGAGAAUUACAGCUGAGGAAGGAACGGUGAGUGAGAAAAUGGUUAGGAAGUUGGUAUGUUUAGUGUUAAUGCCAAAGAGGAGCAAGUGGGUCAUUUUGGUUGAAUUCGAUGAAAGUGAGUUUGGCAUCACGAAUCACAGAGUCAGUGAGUUGUUGGGGUGUGAUUAUGAAAAGUUUUUCAAGCACAGGUGAAAGAGGCAUUAAGAAAUGAGAUUCGGUGGUUGUCAGAAUAUCAGAAGAAAAUAGUAGAAAUCGAGAGCAACACAACUGAACAGAGAAAAAGAUUACUCUUUCUUCACAUCUUAUAAAACUCUAAAAUAUACAGCAAUAUAUAAAGGGGAAAAAAAACUUAGCGGAAAUCUGUUGUAACAGAUUUGCUCAAUAUCUGCACUAACAGCAAUUACUCCUACAAAAUAGGUACUAACUAUUGACCAAGCAAUAAUAAAAUAAAUAAAACAAAAUUAAAAAAACAAGUUUAACUACUACAAUUACCCCCUUAAACUUGUUUAACACCAAUUCUAUCUCUCAGCUAAUUGAACCUCUGCCGUGCUAACGGUUUUGUUAACAAAUCAGCAACUUGUUCUUCAGUCUUUACAUAUUCAAGCUGUAUAUCUCCACAUUGAACGCAAUCACGAAUAAAAUGAAUUCUUGUGUCAAUAUGCUUACUUCUUUCGUGAAAGACCGGAUUAUUGGCUAGUGAUAUGGCUGAUUUGUUGUCAACCUUCAACACUAGUUUGACUUUAUCAUCACCUCUCAAUUCUGCAAUUAUUUUUUUGAGCCAUAACCCUUGACAAGCUCCACCUGUUGCCGCUAUGUACUCAGCUUCACAAGAAGAUAACGCAACUAUUCUUUGCUUGUGAGAGACCCAUGUGAUUGGGCUUUCUCCAAUAAAGAAUAUAAUCCCUGAAGUACUCUUCCUGUCAUCCGUAUCUCCUGCAAGAUCACUAUCACUGAAACUUACAAGUUCUUCUUUUUCUUGAUUCUUUUUGUAGACAAUUCCAUUCUGGCUACAGGAAUUGAUGCCAUAUUUCUGGCUAUAGCCCUUUGCCAUAUUUCUGGCUACAGGAAUUGAUGCCAUAAACUGUUAGCAAGAGUAGUUCUAACAGUUUCUAUUCUGGCUACAAGAGCAAAGACUUCCUUAUAAUCAAUGCCAUAUUUCUACACAUAGCCCUUUGCCACCAAACGGGCUUUGUGUUUAAGAAUCUUGCCGUUUGGAUCUUUCUUCAUUUUGCAGACCCACUUGAGUCCCACUGCUCUUUGGUUCUUCGGCAAAUCAGAGAGUUCCCAGGUUCCAUUCUUUUGAAUUGAAUCAAUUUCAGACUCCAUCGCACGUUUCCAGUUUUCGUCACCAACUGCUUCUUCAUAUCGUGUUGGUUCCUCCAUUGAUAAGAAACACAACCCGACUUUUUCAUCAACUUCUCUGGUCUCAUUGUAAAUUUCUUGCAAUGAUCGAAAUUUCCGUGGUGGAGUUGAACUGGAAUCUGAAUCUGUACCUGUAGUAUUCGAAGAAGAUGACUGAAUUAGAGGGUAAUUAAUUUCUGAAUUUUGUAUACCUGAAGAAGAGGAUGGCGUAGAUAGAGUGCGAAGCGCAUCCACUGCUUCGGAUAUACCAUCACCCCCCAAUUCUUUUACUUUUGUUGAAAAUGUUUCAGUACAAUCAGACUCCUCUUUCUUCUUGCUAUUCUGCCAUGGCCAGCUUGCUCCUUCUUCAAAAACUACAUCUCUGCUUAUGAGAACUUUCCCCUUACUAGGAUCAAACACCCUGUACGCCUUUGAACCUUCUUCGUAACCUAGCAAAACUCCCUUUAAGCUCCUGUCUUCAAGCUUCAUUUGAUGAGAUGACAUGACCUUGAUAUGAACAAGACAUCCAAAUACACGCAGAUGUUGUAUAUUUGGUAUCUUAUCAUACCAAGCUUGGUAGGGUGUCAUUCCUUCAACACUCUUGGUUGGGCACCUAUUCAAUAAAAACACAGAGGUUUUUACUACCUCACCCCACAAAUUUUCUGGCACAUUUUUGCUUUUCAUAAUGCUUCGUGUCAUCCCCAAAACAGUUUGAUUUCUUCUUUCUACGACUCCGUUCUGCUGUGGGGAAUAUGGCGCUGUCAAUCGCCUUUUAAUUCCUUCUCCAUCAAAAAAUUUUUUGAAUUCAGCUGAGAGAAACUCUCCCCCUCGAUCUGUUCUGAAACACUUCAGUUUCUUUUCAGUCUCAAUUUCAGCUGUCUUCUUAAAUUUCUUGAAUGCUUCGAAAGCCUCAUGUUUGCUUUUCAACAAGAAAACCCACAUGUAUCGUGAAUAAUCAUCAACUAGAAGCAAAAAGAAUUUAUUACCUCCUGGAGUUGUUGGUGUAAUAGGAUCGCAGAGAUCUCCAUACACCAAUUCAAGUUUUUCUUUUGCUCUAAACUUCGCAGCAUGUGGAAAGGCUUUCCAAUGUUGUUUCCCCACAGUAUAACCGUCACAGACUUGAUUUGGGAACGAGAUUGUAACGACCCCAAAAUGGACCGUCACCGGCGCUAGGAUUCAGGUCGGCUUAAGGCCGCCAGAACCCGUAGCAAGCCUGCUAUACUCUCUGUGUACCUGUAAAUCUCAUACAUGAUCAUACAUUUUCUGUGAAAAUAAAACUCUUUUCUGAACCAAGGCUUAACCUGUGCAUGCACUAUCUCUGUACUCUGUACUCAUGUACUCUGUACUCUGUAUCCCUGACUAGAGCUUACUCUAGAUGGGUUAUUCCAUACCUGUUAAGCCUGGUUUUCACUACANNNNNNNNNNNNNNNNNNNNNNNNNNNNNNNNNNNNNNNNNNNNNNNNNNNNNNNNNNNNNNNNNNNNNNNNNNNNNNNNNNNNNNNNNNNNNNNNNNNNNNNNNNNNNNNNNNNNNNNNNNNNNNNNNNNNNNNNNNNNNNNNNNNNNNNNNNNNNNNNNNNNNNNNNNNNNNNNNNNNNNNNNNNNNNNNNNNNNNNNNNNNNNNNNNNNNNNNNNNNNNNNNNNNNNNNNNNNNNNNNNNNNNNNNNNNNNNNNNNNNNNNNNNNNNNNNNNNNNNNNNNNNNNNNNNNNNNNNNNNNNNNNNNNNNNNNNNNNNNNNNNNNNNNNNNNNNNNNNNNNNNNNNNNNNNNNNNNNNNNNNNUGUCUUCUCCAGAGACGAAACUCAAGCACCUUCGGCGGCACCUUCGGCGGCCGAAUCCCCCAAACAGAGCCGAACAUGCAAAAACACUCGGGGGCAAGCUGUGGCAACCUAAGCCACCAUGCAAGAGGUUCGGCGGCCGAAUGAACCUUCGGCUGCCGAACCUGAGUUCAUCCAGAACUCAGCUUCAACGGCAAACCAUCUUCUCCUUCCCUUCAACCACUCAAAACAUAUAUACUCCAACUCCUCAAAACACAUAUACUCACGUAUAUGAUCACAGGGGUCCAAAACUAUCUAAUACCCCCAAACAACAAAACAAACAUAUAUACAUGCAUAAAUCAUCAAAACCACUACUUCUCAUGUAAACAUGCAUCUCUCUCCCUUAACUUCCAUAAAACUUACCUCCUGUAACAAGAAGCUGAACACUCUGACCUAAGGAAAACGGACCAACUCUCCUUCACCCUCACAACUCUCCAAAACUCACUUUUUGCUAAAACUCUCAAAACUUGGUGAACGAGCAAACUCCUGCAUGAGCUGCUCAAACUGAGCAAAUAAAGCAUAGGAGACGUGGCCAAACGUCUGGCAACAAGUUGGACAUAACACCUGUCCACAAUGCUGACUAAGGAGUGCUCAAAAGCUGGCUGACCAACUCAGCUUCGGCUGCCGAAUCGCAUGCAAAACCAUGCAACAUUCGGGGGCCGAACCUGAACUUUGGAAGCCAAACAUUGGGCACUUUCGGCGGCCGAACUUAUCUUCGGCGGCCGAACUUGGCUCCUCUGCCUUGGUUCAUUUCAACUCAAAACUAGAGAACUGUAAACCAUACAACACCUCAUAACACGUAAAAAACAAAAAUCCUACCCUUAUAUAGAAUCCCAACACCCCGGAUUCCACCAGACAACAGGAAUUCCGGUGCCGGAUUCUAGCCGGGUAUUACAGAGAUGUCUGGUAAACCUUGUACCAUUUUCUCUUUAGACAGCUUCUUCAACGCUUGAAAAUUUAAGUGACCAUAUCUCGCGUGCCAUAGCCAACUCAACUCUGUUAUGCUUGUCAUCAAGCAUACUUUUUCGGCAAUCUGUAGAUCUGCAAUAAACAGUUUGUUUUGUUGUCUUCUCACCUUGAUUAUGAGUCUAUUUGAGUUAUCAUAGACCCUCAAGACUUCACUUUCAAUGAGUAUUCGACCUCCACUUUCAUCAAUUUGGCCAAGGCUAAUAAUAUUACUCUUCAAUUUUGGUAUAUAAUAUACAUUGGUUAGGGUCAGAUGUUCACCAUUUUUGCAUUGAAAUAUAACUGACCCAAUCCCUAGUAUAUCAAUUACAGAACCAUCACCAAACUUAACCUUGCCACAAAUAGAAUAAUCAAUUUCAACAAAACAAUGUUUAUCUCCUGUCAUAUGAUUGGUAGCUCUAGUGUCGAGGUACCAACCUACUCCUUUCAUGAGACACCCACUCGUGGCAGCAACAUAUGCUUCUCCUUGAACCCCAUUCAAUUCAAUAGCUUUAAUCAUCAUCAAAGAGGGUUCUUCAAAGUAAAUCUGACCAUUCAGCUCACAAGUUUCAAUCAUCAACAGGGACUCUUCUCCAUCAUCUCUCUCGGUCAGAUUUGGUUGUUCCUCUCUCUCCUUUGAUGAGCAUUCUGAUGCGAAGUGUCCCAUUUUUCCACAACUGUAACAUUUGAUUUUUUAUUUGUCGAAUUUCUUCUUUUGCGAUUUCGACUCAUCAUCACCGCCUCGGCUUGACUCACCACUGUGUCUUCCUCUGCCACGACCGCGUCCUCCGCGUCCUCUACCUCUACCACCUCUUGUAUCAGCAGUCUUGUUCUUUUUAGCCUCCUCCCUAGCUUUCCACUCAGCUCUUGUAAGAAGAACUGUUUCAUCAAAUCUCCCACCACAGCUAAGCAAUCUUUCUUCAUGAGCUUUGAGUGAACCUAUCACCUCCUCAACUGAUUUAGUGGUUAGGUCACUGAAUUUUUCAAUUGUGGCUGCGAUCUGUAGAAACUUUGGUGAAACUGAUCUCAACAGUUUCUUCACCACUUUUACAUCCUCCGCAGUGUUGCCAAGGCUUUUCAGCUUAUUGACAAUAAUCGUGAGUUUCCCUGAGAAAUCAUCAACAUUCUCAGAGUCGCUCAUUCUUAACGCGUCGAACUCACUCCACAAUGACUGAGUUCUCACUUCUUUAACCUUGUCUCCCCUAGGUUCAUUGUUCUUAGCAUGCUCCAUGCUUCCUUUGCGGUCUUCUUCGCACUCAAUUGAAGCAAGGUAUCUUCCCUUAUACCUUGGUAAAUGGCAGCCAAUGCCAUUUUGUCUCUGCGACUAUCAAUUGGGCCAGGUGACUCAACUGCGUCCCACACUCCUUGAGCUAUCAUAAAGACCUCCAUCUUUGUAGCCCAUGCUGCGUAAUUACUCUUUGUCAGCAUAGGAUAUUUUAACGAAACUGAACUUUCUUUUUCAGGGAACAAGGUACCUCUAGCUGUAGUAGAACUCUCUUAAUUUGAGACUUCCUCACUUUCUUUUAACUCUCUCUCUCUUUCUGUUCUCUCUCUUUCAACAUUCUAGCUCUCUCAAUUUCAAGAUGAGACAUCUUAAGGCCUUGAUCUUAAGGCUCUGAUACCAAGAGUCAGAAUAUCAGAAGAAAACAGUAGAAAUCGAGAGCAACACAACUGAACAGAGGAAAAGAUUACUCUUUCUUCACAUCUUGUAAAACUCUAAAAUACACAGCAAUAUAUAGAGGGAAAAAAAAACUCAGCGGAAAUCUGUUGUAACAGAUUUGCUCAAUAUCUGCACUAACAGCAAUUACUCCUACAAAAUAGGUACUAACUAUUGACCAAGUAAUAAUAAAAUAAAUAAAACAAAAUUAAAAAAACAAGUUUAACUACUACAGUGGUACUAAGGAGGUUUGAUAAAUUCUUAACUGGUUGAGAAUAGAGACCGGAGAGGUGUGCCUCUUAAGCUUUACUUCCUCAUUGGUCUUUGAUAGGAAUAAGAUAGACAUUAUUCAUGCUGAGAUGAAGAAAAUUCCAUUGUGUUCAUGGUAGCAAAUUAUGUUCAUGCAAUUAAUUCAGAGAUUUUAGUUAAUUACAUUUGGAUUUUUGAAUUUUAGUGGUGACUUUUAUGGUUAAUUUAAUUCAAUAGUAUUUUAUAUUAAUUCUAGUUACUUAUAUAUUUUACUAUGAUCGUGCGAUAUAUCAUGUGGGCUAUCUAAAAUAAUAAUAAAUAAUUUUAGGUGACAUGUCACAUAGAUGAGAACACACUUCCUCCCAAUCCCAAUUUGAAAAUUUGGAUAAACAUUUUAAGAAUUUUCAAAUAUUGACUUAUUGUACUAAAAUUGAAAUAUAAGAAUUAAAUCGCAAAGUAACAUAAAGGUCAAGAUUUUUAGUGCCAAUAACCCUAAAUAAAACUAUAAAUAUAUUGAUAAUUUUUGUUUUCCGAUUACUUCAAAUGAUUGGCAUAUUGUUCAUCCUUUGACAGAUCAAGAUAAUUACGUUACCAAAAUAAUCUAAAUAUACUAACUAAAUUCCCACUUUACAUGACCGAAUGGUAUAUUAAAGUAACUUGUAAUACCUAACUUUACAUUAUCAAAAAAUAUCCCAAAUAACAUGCAAUUUCCAACUUUACAAAAGUAUCCAAAAUAUUAGCAGUCUAUAUACCAAUCAAAAUAUCAACUAUUCCAAAAUAACCUACAAAAAAUAAUUUUAACAUAACUUGCAACUAUUCAAAACAGUCCUAACAACUAGUCUUGGCUUUGUGGAGCCAGAGGAUAAGUGCAAUUGAUAUCCAUCUAGUCUUGAUGACUUCUUGCUCUAGUGUUUUUAUUGAUAUGUUGAUUUGCAGCUUAUGGCCUUCUCACAUUUAUCCUACUGCUGAUGUUGGUUUGUAAAAGAAUUGGUCAAUAUUCUUUAAACUAUAAAAUAACUGGUAUUUAUGAACGAAAAUUAAAUUAAAUAGUAAAUACUGACUCCAAUAAGUGAACCCUAAUAAGUUCUCCUAUUAUGUCUCAAUUAUUUGCAUCUUGCACAUAUCACAAUUGAAUUUCUCUUCCUUUUUGCUAUAGGACCUAAUUCUUCUUUCUCCCUUCUUCUAGCCUUCCUAGAUCUACUAGAUUGUCUUCUUAAGAGAGGAGAUUCUAAUGCUACAAACUCUAAAUCUAGCUUUAAAUUCCUCUCAAGUCUUUGAUGGAUUGAACUCUCAAACAAUCUUAGGUAGUAAAGUGCUCAUAAAAAUAGUCUUCAAUGUUAUAUCUCUUAUAUCCAAUAGCUUUGGUUAUAUGUUUACAUGGUAGCCCUAUGAUGCCCCAUCAUCCACAUGUGCAAGUAUGAUUUUCGAAAAUAAUUGCAAACUUGCAGCUACCUUCUUCAACCUCAAACUCAUCAUUUAUUUCAAGCAAUAAAUUAACGUACCUACUUUGAAUAAUUAUUUCAAGCAAAAAAUGGAUUUAAAAUAAGAGAAACUUACCUAAGACAAAGCACUAGAUAAAAUGGAGAUCGUGGCUGCUUAAGACUGAAUUGAAGGAGGUGUGCGGCUAGAGAUGCUUAUUAUCCAAGGAGCGUCGCGCACCUCGACAAUGCUGACCGUUAAGGAACAUCGCACAGCUCAAGAAACGCGAUGGAAGCUCUUACUCAGGAAAUGCGAUGGGAAGCUCCUACUGAGAGAAUGUCGUGAUGGAAAGGGAAGUAUGAGAAUUAGGACUGAAUUAGAGAAAAAUAUCCCAUACCAAGUUUUUUAGCAUAAAACUACGUAGUUUUAUUAAAUGGAUUUAAAAUAUAUUUUUAUUAUUGAAUUUUUUAAUUUAAAAUUACAUGAUUUUAUUUAAACCACACUAUUUUUAUUGAAUUUAAAUAUAUUCUUAUUGUAAAUCAUUAAUACAUUGUAAUUUUGAUUUUAGUUUAAAAUUUAUUAUUUAAAUUAAGUUAAAAAUAUAUUGAUUUGUGUGUAAGUUUUAAAGUAAUUUUAAUUAAUGAAAAAAAUUAGAUAAUAUUUAAUUAAUGAAAAUUAUUAGAUAAAUUUAGCGCAUGUUUUUAUUCAAUAGAUUUCAAAUAUAUUUUUAUGAUUGAGUUAUUAAUUUAAAAUUAUAUUACUUUCAUAUAAACCACUCUAUAUUUUUUAGAUUUAAAUAUAAUUUUUAUAAAUUAUUAAUACAUUCAUUUUAAGUUAAAAUUAUAUUACUUAUUUUUUAUAAAAAAAUUAUAUUAUUUAUAUUAAGUUUGAAAUAUAUGAAUUUAUUUUAAAUUAUAAAGUAAUUUUAAUUAUUAAAAAUAAUUAGGUGAUAUUCAAUUAAUGAAAAUAAUUAGAUAACUUUUAGCGAUCAAAUUUUUAUCAUUAAUUGGUUGCUACAUUUGAUUACCAUUUUAAUUUUAAAGUGUUUGGUGAUCAAAGUAUGGUUGCAGAUUGAUUGUUAGUUUGCAACCACAUAAUUUCGAACGCUAUUUUUGGUCAUAUUUAUACAAUUUUUCGAAAGUGUUUAGCGACCAUAUUUCAAUCAUUGAUUCGUCGCUAAAUGGUCACUAACUUUCGCACCAAAACGUAGUAAUAUAAUCGUUAAAUUAGUGGCUAUAAUUUCAUGCUCAUCUAGCAUAUCGUCACUGUGUAACCUUUUAUAAUCAUAUUCAUAUCAUUGCCGAAUAGUUACAGUUUAGUUGCUAUUUAGUGGCCGAAAUUAAUUGGUUGCUAAAAAUGGUUGCUAUUCUCUGUUUUUUUGUAUUGUUUUACCUCACGCAGGUUCUAGAUAUAAUACAUACUAAGAAGUGACCGAAGAUUAGUAUUAAAUACAAAAACUAUUGUCAUAGCUAGUUAUCUUUAGUCUUGAGUCCUUAAUUAGUUGUAUUUUAGUAUGUAGAUAUUAAAUAGAUUUGGUUGUAAAAAUAAGAUGUGUAAUCAUAUAUACACCAAAAAAGAAGCAAAAUCAUAUGCAUAUAAUAAAAAAAUUAUUGAAAUGUGAAAAUAUUGAUAUUUUAAAAUGCUUGAAUAUCUAAUGGACUAAAAAAUAUUGUAAGGUGAAGAAAGGAUAAUUUUAGAAUUUUUUUUACAUCUGCAUCACAAGAGAAAGGAUAAUUUUUAGAAGUUAUAUAUAUAUAUAUAUAAAAGCAUCAUACAUUGAGAUAUAAAUAAAAUUAGAGAAAACUCUUGUCAAAUUUUUUAUUCAAAAUUUCUCAUAUUUUCUAUAAACACGUUGUACAAUUUAUAUGACAAACAUACAUGGUAAAUAUAAUACACAAUUCAAAAUACUUAUAAAUAUAGCUCAUGACAAUUCUUGCUCGGUCUAUAUUAGGAUAGGUAAAGGGCAUUACAAGAUAAUUUUCAAUCUUACAACUCUUAAUUUUUUUUAAUUCAAUAGCCUCAAAGGCAGAAGUUUCAACAACUGUACACAGACUUGAAUAAAGAAUUAAAUUUAAUAUCUUUAAUUUCUUAAUUUAGGUCUUUUAUGCAUAGGUUCUAAUACAUAAUCUAUACAAUCCUAUACUUUAAAAUAUCUAAUCUUAAGCUUCUUAUAACAACUUAAAAAGGAGAUUUAUCUUCAUUUUUAUGUAAAAUUCUAUUAUUAAUAUGAGACGCAGCAUAUAAUGCUUCACCUCAAAAACUAUAAAGCAACUUAGAAUAUAAAAGUAUAACACUUACCAUUUCCAGCAGUGUUCUAUUAAUCCUUCAUUAUACUCCAUUUUGGUGGAGGAGAAUUAAAAGUAGACAACUCUCUUACUGUUCCAUAUUGUUCACAAGAAAAAAAAAAACUCAAAAGAACUCAAAAGAAAGAAAUUCACCACCUCUAUCAAAUCUAUUCCUUUUAACCUUCUUAUUAAUCUAAUUCUCAAUUUAUUUUUUAAAAAAUUUAAAUUUCUCAAAAAGAUUCUUUUUUUUUUCUAAGCAAACAAACAUAUAUAUAUUUUAAAAAUCAUUAAUAAAAAUUAUAAAAUAUUUUUUAUCACCUCUGGUCAAAUAAUAUUUGUUAUCAUAUAAAUCAGUAUGAAUAAGUUCUAAAAGAGAUGUUUUAAAAAUAGAUCUAAAGGGGACUUAGUAAUCUUUUCUUGUGCAUAAUAUUCAAAAUUAUUUGUAGUAUAAAUAUGUGAAGUCUUAAGAAUAUAAUCAUUUGAAAAUAUUCAAAAUUAUUUUUAGUAUAAAUAUGUGAAGUCUUAAGAAUAUAAGCAUUUGAAAUUAUUUGAUGCACUAUUACUACUAAUAUAACCUAAUCUAUAAUGCCAAAAAUAUUAAUAUUAUCAACAAUAUAAGCAUAAGUACUAGAGCCUUUAUUCAUACUAAGAAAAUACGUGAUUUUCUUAUCCAUCAUAAGGAUUUAAAUAAGAAUAACGACCGUUUCAUCUUACUCGAGAUCACUAGCUUCUUCAUUUUUAUCUUUGUGAAAUUUACAAACUCUAGCUAAAUAUCUCAUUUUGCCACAUACAAAAUAAGGUCCUCUCUUCUUCUUAUUAGUACAAAAAUUCUUAUUUCCACUUAUGAGACUAGUUGAACUUGAAUUUAAAGGAUUUCGAGGAUGUGAAAUUUUCAAUAUUAUGUACACUAUCAUUUUCAAUCUUUUUCAGUAUUAACAAGUAUAUCUCUAUUCUUAGCCUUAUUCUCAAUUUGAAUGUGUUAUCCAAAUUCAGAGAAUUUAUUUUAUGGUUUAAUUUCUUUUUGCAAUCCCUUAUAAAGGAAGAAUUUUACAAAUCACAAUAGACACUUGAAAAGUCUCAGAAAUUAGUUUACCCAUAAAGUAAUUUCAUUUAAUUCAUUAACUUGAUAAAUGACGGGUUUGGAAUCAACCACUUUAAAAUCAAUAUACUUAUUAAUAAGAAAAGAUUUAGUUUCAGCACUUUCAUUAGCAUACCUUCAUUCAAUGAUAGCCUAUAACUAAUAUGUAGAUGGCAUAUGUAGAAGACAUUGAAGAGGGUAUUGCUCAUUGCAUUCAAGAUUACUGAACAAUAUAGAAAAUCAUCUUCAACACAUUUUUACUGUAAAGUUGGUCCUCGCUUCUUCUAUCUUGUGGAUAUGAAGUAAUUAGAACAUAAAAAACUUUGACAAUUAUCAAUUAAUACAUAAUUUUCAUGUUUUAGUAUUUGUAAUUCAUCUCAUUGAAUUUUUCAAGUCUAUCCACAUCUUGUUGCAGCUUGCAUAAUAAGGACUCCAUUGGAAAAGAAAUUAUUAUCCUAAAUUUAUUAUAGAAAUUCAAAAAAAAAAAAAAGAGAGAGAAUAGAUUUACCAAGGAAGACUAAUAGAAUGAAUAAAAAAUAAAGACGAAUUUAGUUAGGUAAGAUGUUUCUUAGGAAACUAUCUUUAGCAUAAUAAUUUCCCAUCUAAGUAAAAAAUUUUGAAUAGAAAUUCUUUCCUCAUAAUAUAAUGGCUAAUUAAUAAAUCAAAAUUUCACUUUUUGAUUUCUUCUACUUCAAGAACUCAAUAAUGAAAUUUGCUUCUUACUUACGGAUAUUGAAAAGGGACAUCGAAAGACACAAUUAUUUAUUUAUUUAAAACUAUAAUUAAAAUUAAUUAAUUAAAAUCAGUUUAAAAGUUUAUUGUUGCAAAUAAUAGUAAACAAUCAAAGGACAUUGGUGAGGGAUGUGUACUCAUAUGCAUGGGAUAUAUCCCUUUAUAUUUAUAUAUCUUUUUUAAAGAAUUUUUUUAUUAAUAGAGUAUGUUAUACUUUAAUCUCUAAGUUUUAGUAUAACUAACAGAUUAAUCCCUAUAUUUUUAAAACCAAACACUUAAAUCUCUUUAUAUUUAGUCUGUCUAAAACCACAAUCCUCCAAUCUAUUAUAAACGUUAGUUCAAAGCUGAUGGAUAGUCAAAAUUCUUAUACUAAAAUUUUCUUCCUAAAAUACUUUACAUACAGAUUUCGUGUCUGGAAUCAAAAGAUAAGAAAAUAAUGAAUAAAUAUCAAUUUAAAUAAAGAAAAGUGGGGUUUGAUCUCUAACAAUAAAUUUCUUAAAACAAAUUAAAUUGAUCUUUGAUUCUUUCCUUUGAAAUGUAUGAUUCAAGUGUUUGAAAGACUUGUUCUUAAAUUGAUAGAGAGGAUCUCUUCAAUUUGGAGAAGAAAGACUUGUAGAGCUUGAGUGGAAAUUCUAUAGAGUUGAUAGCUUGUAGUAUUGCCAGAACUUUUGUGCCUUGAGACUUAUCAUCUUAGUUUUCUUUUGAGGAGUAGAGUCUCUCUAUCCAUAGAGAAUUUAAGAGGAGGGCCUCAAUUGCCUAUUGACAAAUGUUAUCAUUUUAUUGGUUGACUUGUAUUUAUAAUUGAGUGACAUGAUAUUUUUUUAAUUAGUCAAUUUAUGUCACAAAUAUUUAAAUGGAUUUAUUUAGUGAAAUUGAUUUAAUUAAAAAUUACUAAAUAAAAUUAUGGAUCCAAGAGAUAUGUAGUAUUUUAUAAUUUGGAAUUUAUGUUUUUAUUCCUACAAAUAUCCCGUGAGACUUGUUUAUUAUUUUAUUUAUUUAGUAGAAAUGCCUCAAAAAUUUAAAUUUUAUUUGUGUAUAAUAUUUUCGAAAAAAUAAUUUGAUUUAUUUCUUCAAAAUAUUGAUCUUAAUUUUUUAUGAUUAGAAAAUAAUCUCUGAACAUAAUGUUGAUGUAUAUUAUUUUAAAUAGGGAUAUUUUCCCUGUUUGAGAAUUUUCUAGUAAAUUUUGGAUUUUAAAUAGUUGAAAUUUUAUCCAAAUUAUUUUUUCUUGUAGCAUGAGAAUUUAUAUCCAAACAGGAUUUUAGUUCUAUAUUGUUUAGGAAACAGGAAAUUUCGAUCCCAAAAUAAUGGAUCAAAUUUUCUCAUUGCUUGCACCAUGAAAUUCAUUACCCUUCUUGCAUUUAAGAAGAAGAGAAUUGACUCUUCGAAGACAAAAUCGAUUGAAGCUCCAGUUAUUAGACCAAAGACAAAGGUAGGCUCCACGGAAGACUUGUCAUCAUCAUUGUACAUGAUUGGGUUGCUUUUUCUUUGCACAAAUUGAAUUUGUGAGAAUAUGUGUCGUGGUAUACAUGGACCAUUCCCUUUUUUUAAAUUAAAUGCAGAGCUCCUAUCUUCAUGUGGCGAGUUUCUUGGAGUGGAAGAAAUGAAUUUUCUUCCGCUUCACUUUUGCCUUGUGCUCAUGGCAGCGUCCACCUAUUCAUAAUAUCUUUUUUUAAUACUAAUUAUUAUUAUUAUUAUUAUUAUUAUUAUUAUUAUUAUUAUUAUUAUUAUUCUCUUUCCUUUUUUCUUCUAAUAUUUUUAUCAUUUUUUUCGGCUGUUAUAAUUUCUACCAUGGUCAUCUUCAAGGAAUUUUCUACCUCUCAUACUAAGUCUAACCUCAUCAUCUUCGAUAAUGAGGACUAGCAAGAAGGUACUACCCUUGCUGUCCAUCUGUCCAUAAGUUUGCCAUUGGUUUCUUUGCUGCUACAUGGUCUAUAUUCGAUGGACUACCUCAUCUAUAAAGUUAGAGUUUGAAGGCUCACACAUGAUCUUUAACUACAAUCUUUAUACCAUUAUCAACUACAAGGCAUCCUUGCUACAAUCUUCGCUAUGCUUUAGUAAGCCUUUAACUCAUAAUUUGCCACUUUUGCAACACUGGAUCCAUAAAGAAAAAGUCUCAUGGAAAUCAUUUUCUAUAAAUUCUAGCGAGUCUCACUACAUGAAAGGAUAUUAGAAAUGGGUUGAAGAUGUGCUAGCAAGCAACAAGCGUCUUUUGAAGAACACAUGACUCUACCAUGCCAUUUAUGCUUUGCUCUUCACUUAUAAUUGCCACCCAAGUGCUAUGCAAGCCUUUUACAUGUAUUGAAGAACACUUUUUGUACUCUUAGUGGAAAAGAAUCCAUAUCACCUUAGGACUUAAAAAUAAUAGGCAUUUUUCUUAUUUGUGGUUCUUUUUAUGAUGAAGCCAUUCCUUUAACUGGAUAGUUAAAAGACCUUGAUCGAAGUAGCAAGCCCUAUCUACCUUAUAGCUGCAAGUAUAUAUUUCUUGCUUUCCACAAGAAGUCUCACAAGAUUAGUGAUUAUUAUGAGAUAAAGACCAUAGGCUAGAUCAAAUUUUGGUUUUGUAGUACUUCAAACUAUUUAAAAGCUCCCAAACGAAAUGACAAGAAGAGGACCAAUUGCUCUAAAAAAAAUCUACAAUCCAUCAAGGGUCAUUGAUAAAAAAAAUCCUUUCAUGCUAAGGGAUAGAGCAAGUCACUUUUAAGUAACUUUAUGAAAACGUUUUGGGACUGAACUUCGAUACAGUAGUACUGUCCAUCCCCAAAAUGAUGGCCAAAUUGAAGUGGUGAACUGCACUCUUGGCAAUCUGCUACGUUACAUCUGUAGUGAUAAGAACACUGUUUAGGAUCUUGCUCUUGUCCAAACAGAAUUUUCUUACAACAGUUCUGUCUAUAGCUCUACAAAUAUGUUACCCUUUACAAUUAUGUAAAGGAAAAUCUAACGCAUACAAUUGAGCUUAUUGCCCUUCCUACGGGUUUUCAUAACAGUACUAUAGCAAACAACUUAAUAAAUCAGCAUGUGGACGUUUCCAAAUAGAUAUAACAAUGCUUUACGGAAGCUAAUAACAAGUAUAAAACUGCAACUGAUAAACAUAGGUAUUUCAAGUCCUUCAAUGUCGAUGAUCAAGUUAUGGUGUAUUUGCGCAAUGAAUGUGGUGAAGGAUAGAAAAAACUUAACCUAAAGAAGAUUGGUCCAAUUUUAAAUUAUUCAGAAGAUUAAUGACAAUGUCUAUGUUCUUGACCUCCCAGAUCAUAUAAAAAUUUUUAAGACGUUUAACGUGGUGGAUCUAUUUCAGUACUACCUUGUUAAUGACAACUCGAGAUCAAGUUAUUUACAAGUGGAAGGAAAUGAUGCGGAGCAAUUAGUCUUAGAUUUUAUAAAAGACUUGGAUCAGACUUAACUUUUGUUAUCGACGUCUGUUAGAGGCCCACAAUAGAUUUUUGGAAAGGAAAUUUCGAUACAGAUGACUUUUAAAAGUGUGAUGAGGCCAUAGGCCUGUCACAAAGUUUGAAGCCCAAAUUCUAUUGUUUAGAGGGUUAAUUUUACAUUUUUAUUAUUUAUUUUUUAGAACUUUUUUUGUAAUUUUCCACAUUAAUGUUAUUAUUAUUAUAAAUAGCUAUUUUCUUGGCCAUUUGACACACUUUUUAAUUUUCGAGAAUUUAAUUAGAAAUUUCAACUUCUAAUAUUUCAUUUUCUGAAUUUUGUCUUAACCAAAUAUUAUUGGUUAAAAUUCCUGACGAUUCCCGUCCUAUUUCAGAAAGAAUUGAGUCAAACACAAAAUAGGUGAUAAAGAGAUGGAAGGUGUAAGGACUGCAAUGUUUUUAAUUCUAGAACCCAGAACAUAAGAGUUAGAUACAUCAACUAAGGUGACAGUGCAUGAAGUUAUAUGAGAUUGAAAAGCAAAUGAGAAAUCAAAAUACUUGUCAAAUGAUAUGUAGCACAUGAAUUAAUGACCCAUGUAGAAGAAGAGACAAGACAAUAAGUGAGUUUAUUUGACUUAGCGAUAGUAGUAACAAAAGAAUUGAUAUGUCUUAACGAACCUUUAUAUUAAAAAAGCUAAGCAAACACUUCCACAGAUAUCAAAAUAAUUUUUUCAAAUAUAACUAUCAUUUGACAAACAAAAUAAAUCUAAUAAAAACUAAAGAAUAGUUCCAAAGCUAAUUCCAAGCCAAAUGAUAGCCAUAUAAAAUAAUAAACAGUGAGAAACCCUUUUCUUAGCAGUAGCUAUAAUUAAUUCCAAUUCACUACAAUCUAAUUUCCUUAAUAAAGCUCCAAUCUCUAAAAUAACACUCAAAGCUACAAUACCGAAACUAGCAAUAGUAUUCAAAACCAAAAUUUAAAAGAAGCAAAAAAAAGUGAAGUGUCAAAUACCAGAAAAAUUAAGCGUGGUUAUGGGAGAACAUUGAAAAAUGAUGCACGCGUCCAUCAUGCGCCAACACAUGGGCUACAUGCGAGAAAUUUAGGUGGCAAGUGGGAGCCACACGCUUGAAUCUUAACAGGAGGUCGAUCAAUGACCAAAAGCUUGAUUCCUGAGGGGCGGUGAGGUGAACAGAGUACUGUAAAUGAGAGAAUUCAAAAUAAUAGUAUACUCAACCAAAAAGAAAUAGAAAAGAAAUAACAUUAGCCUCUGAUAUCAUAAAAACUUUCGAAUUUUUGAUGUAUAGGAGAUUAAAGACCGAGCUUUUUCCCUGAGGGGCGAUGACGUGAAUGGAGAUGGAGUACUCUAAAUGAGUGACUUAAAAAUAACAGUAUAGUCAAUAAAAAAGAAAUAAAAUUAGACUCUGAUAUCAUAAAAACUUUUAAAUUUUCAAUGUAUAGGAGAAAUACAGUAUUUAUAUAUAUAUCUCUUAUAAUCAUGUAGUUUAGCUUAAGAAAGCAUUCCUAUAGUUAUAUUAAUGUAUCUAUCUAAUUAUACUAAUAAUUAUUACAUAGUUGACUUAUUGUGAUAUUUUUUUUACAUAAUAAUUUUCAUCAAAUUAACUUAAAAUUAUAGUACAAAAUAAAUUUUUAAUAUAAUAAAAAUAAAAAAAAAAGAUAAAAGCAUGUCUUUUACAUUAGUAUUUUAUAGUUUUAUUAAAAUUAAAAAGUAAUGUAAAUUAAAGAUAAAAAUUAAUAUGGGAGUGUAUUCGCACAUAACAUGUUAUGUGUAUAUAUAUAAGUUGUUAUUAUAGUUUUGAUUUGAUUUGAAUUCAACGUGGUUUUAGUAUUAAUUCAAUUUGAAUUCAAUAUGAUUUUAGUAUGGCUUUAAUUUAAUUUUUAAUAAAAAGAAAAAUUAAAUAAAAAUAAUAAAAUAAACUUACUUUGACAUGAAUUUUAUAGAUUCUAUACGAAUUUCUAAGUUCAAUUCAAAAUCUUAAACAAACAUUUAAGUUAUUUAUAAUAUCUAUCUAAAUAAAAGAAAAAAGAAGUCACCUAUAAUAUCCCAAUACCGAUAGCAUAUGCACUCUCUAACGUUGGAUAUGUUAUUUUGAUCGUAAUGAAUUGCAAGGAAAAAAUUAAUAUCAGUUUCUUUUAUUUAUCAAAAUUAAUUAUUUAAUUUUUUUAAUAUUUUGAAAAAGUUUAAAAUUCUUCAAAUUUUUUUAUAUAUUUCUAAAUGGCUAAAUAACAUGAAUAAUUAAAAUUAUAAAAAUCAAAUAACAAAAGUAUUUAAGGUUAAUCAUGUCAAUUAAUCUGUUUUAUAUGAAUAUAAGUCCUUCUAUUUUAUAUAAUUAUAAGGGCUUUUUUUAAUGUGUAAUUCAUGUAAUAAUUAGUAAAGCCAAAAAUAAUUAUUGUUUUAUAUAAUUAUAAAUGUUUUUUUCAAUGUGAAAUUCGUUUUAUAAUAAGCAAAGGCUAAAAUAAUUACAAACUGGACUACACUAAAAACCUAUCCAGUUUAAGAAAAAACAUAUAAAUAAUUAAGGCUACCUAAGCUUCAUAAAUCAAAGACUAAUAUAAAUCCCAAAAAAAACAAGACUUAAAAAGGCACUUAAAAGAUGAGGUUGAGGAGAGUUAGAUGAACUUUUACCACUACUCACAAAACCUCAAGUGGAGUCAUCUAGAGAAAGGUGAUGAAAGACCUAAUAAAAUACAAGAACAUCAAAGAAAUCGGCCAAAGCCUACAAAAUUGAUGUAUGUAAUUCAUUCAAUUCAAAAGAGAAAAAUAAGUCUAGUUAACUUACCUCGAAUCAGUUGCACAAUGCAAAGAACGGUGUAAUUUAAAAGCCGUAGAAAUAUAAAUAGGCUUUUGUAUAUAUUUAGUUUUUAAAAGAUUAAAAACCAAAAAUGAGGUAUUGGUAAUAUCUCUAAGAUAUGUCAUACUAGAGGAAAAAAAAAACAAAAGACAAUUCCAGAGAUUACCUAUGACUUUCAAUUGAGUAAAACCUCAACAAGUCUACAGGAGAAAAAUUCAUCAACCAUCAAAGCAUAUCUCAAGAGAUUUAUUAUAAAAAAUAAAUAAUAUAUAUAAAUAACCUUAAUCUUAAAGUAAAAAACGAGAAUUAUUUUCUAGACAAAAAUAAAAAGGUUAUCAUUUACUUAAAAAGGCACAAAAAUUAUUGAACAGUUACAAAAGUAAACCGACUCGAUCAGAAAAUAAAUUAAAAAUUUUUUUUUCUCUAUUUAUUCAUCUAGAGAGAAGUUCAGCAAUGUGCGGAUAAUUUUUUUAAUUUUGACUGUGUUUGAAAAAAGAUAAAGUAAAAUAAGAUUUUUUAAUGUAUAUCUUUAUAAAAUAAAGUUUUUUUUAUAAAUUUUAAAUUUUAAUAAUGUUUUCCAUUUAAAAAAAAAUUUUAUUAAUUUUUUAUUAUUAAAAAAAUAACAUUUUUUUAAAAAAUAUUUAAAGAUUUUAAGAGAAAACUUUCUUAAUUUACUAAUUUAAUAGAUUGAAAUUAAUAAUUUUUUGAAGUUUAAAGUUUUGACCUUAAAAAAAUUUUAUUUUAAAAAUUCUCACUCCCUUUCAAUCAUAAAUUUAAAGUUUUUAAAUUUUGAAAUACUUCAUUUACUGCAAAAAAAAAUAUCUCCAGAAACAGAGUGCGAGUCCCUCGUAAUUGAAUUUGAAAAAUAUUGAUUCUCACUAGGGAUGACAGGCGGGCGGGUUUUCACGGGUACCCGAUCCGCCCAAACCGUAUAAGGACGGAUUUGGGUUUUCACAAAACGGAUUUGGGCGGAUUCGGGUUUGAAAAAUUUUACUCGUCUCGGAUUCGGGUAGGGUUCGGGAUUAGGUGAUCGGAUACCCAUUACCCGAACCCGAUUAACUAUACUAACAAAACUAAUCCUAAUCCCUAAUUUAUUUUUUCAUCUCUCUCUCUCCCUCGCUUCCCUUCCCAUAGUUCUCAGUCACGCCUCUCCCCCACUUCACUGACAACUGCCGACAGCCCAGUCAUCACCGGCAACGUCUCCUUUCUCUCCCCAGUCGACGAUAAAUCUUCUCUCUCCCCCGUCAAUAUCUCCUUCUCUCUCUCCAGCGGCGACAUCUCCGACUUUCCAGUUGAAGACAACUCUUCCCUCUGCCCGGUCGGCGUCGGCGAUAUUUCCUUCUCUCUCCCCAGUCAGGUGAAAUCUACUCUUUUCGAUUUACGCUUCUCUCCCCACACUUCACUGACGCUAGAGACAACACUUCUCUCCUCAAUCGGCGACAUCUGCUUUGACUAUAACUCUCUUUCAAGUUUCAAGAUUUUUUAUGUGUAUGUUCUUAAAGAAUUUUAUAAUUUAUGAACUAUUAAUAUAAUUAUUUGGAUAUGUUAAAAAAUCUAAUUAUUUGCUAUUUGAUUAAUGUAAUACUGUUGAUUUUUAAAUUUAUGGACAAUUAAUCUAAUUAUUUGAUUAUAAAUCAUUAUUUGCUGGGUUGCUGAGUUGCUGGAUCUUGUCAUUGAACAUUUCUCCUCCUACCGGGUUGUGCCAACUGUUAGAUAGUUUAUUUGGUUUUGUCAUUGAAUUGAAUUAAAAAAAUUAUUUGCUGAGUUGCUGAGUUGCUGGUUUGUAUCGGGUUCGGGUAUUGUGCGGGUAUUGUUAAACGGAUUUGGGACGGGUUCGGAUAGUAAAAUUAAAAUAUUAAACGGAUUUGGGACGGGUUCGGAAAUUGUAUAUAUAAUCGGGUUCGGAUUUGGGUACCCUCAAUUUUGCGGUUACCCUACCUGUUUACAUCCCUAAUUCUCACAAACUGAAAGAGAUCUUGUACUGAUUCAGCGGUCCGUAAAUUGCAAGGGCAUAUUUCUGCAAAAUAUCACAGGAGAGCGUAAGAAGUCACCUAUGUCCUCCACUUCUGCUCUUCCUAUUCCUCCCUCUGCCCCCUCUCUCCCCAGUGACCCAUCCUCCAACUACCACCACCAUAAAGCCUCUCGCUGUACAGUCUCACCACCGCCAAGCCCCACUCUCGCAGCCUCUAGUGUCCGCUCUCGCCUGAGCAGGCUUUGUGUAGAGGGUCAACUCCAUCUUGCUCGCCAACUGUUCGAUGCAAUUCCUCGCCCAACUACUAUUAUUUGGAACACGAUCAUUAUUGGCUUCAUUUGCAAUAAAAUGCCCCUAGAAGCCCUUUCAUUGUACUCCCAACUUAAAAUUACUCACACCAAAUGUGAUUCCUAUACCUACUCUUCUACUCUUAAAGCCUGCGCAGUAACUGGCAAUUUAACAAUAGGAAAAACCAUUCAUUGCCAUUUUAUUCGGUGUUUAUCAUAUCCGAGUAGAAUUGUGUAUAAUUCUCUUUUAAAUAUGUACUCUACAUGUUUGAGUAGCAGGUGCCCCUUGAAUGAUUUUGAUUUCUCCAAGUAUGAUUUAGUAUGUAAUGUUUUUAAGACAAUGCCUGAGAGGGAUGUGAUUGGUUGGAACACUGUGGUUUCUUGGUAUGUGAAGACGGAGAGAUACACAGAGGCGAUUAGACAAUUUAAGAUAAUGAUGAAAACGGGGAUUAAUCCAAGUCUAGUAAGUUUUAUCAAUGUUUUCCCUGCUCUCUCGAGCUUCGGCCACUGCAAGUAUGCAAAUGCUCUUUAUGGGUUGCUUCUUAAACUGGGUAGUGAAUAUGUGAAUGACUUGUUUGUUGUGAGUUCAGCAAUAUCAGUGUAUGCUGAGCUUUGUUGCCUUGAUCUUGCUAGGAAGGUUUUUGACCAUUGUUUGGAGAAGAAUACAGAAGUUUGCAACACUAUGAUUGGUGGGUAUGUGCAGAAUGAUUAUUUCUUUGAAGGUAUUGAUCUAUUUCUUCAAGCUAUGGAAACAGAACAGAUAGUUCCCGAUGAUGUAACCUUUCUCUUAGUUUUGACAGCGGUUUCACAGUUGCAGCUUCUGGACUUGGGCCAGCUGCUGCAUGCCUUUGUAAUUAAAAAGCUAUCAGUACUACCAGUGAGGAUACUGAAUGCACUCAUUGCCAUGUACUCUAGGUGCAAUUCUGUCCACACAUCAUUCAGAGUUUUUCUGAAGAUGCCAGAAAGAGAUGUUGUCUCAUGGAAUACCAUGAUUUCUGGUUUCAUACAGAAUGGGCUAUAUGAUGAAGGGUUGAUGCUUGUGCAUGAGAUGCAGGAAGAAGAGUAUACUGUUGAUUCUGUGACAGUAACUUGUCUACUCUCUGCAGCAUCUAAUCUUAGAAACCAAGAAAUUGGAAAGCAGACUCAUGCAUAUCUUGUUAGGCAAGGCAUCAAAUUUGAUGGAAUGGACAGCUAUCUCAUUGAAAUGUAUGCUAAAACAGGUUUGAUUAGGACAGCACAACAGGUUUUCGAAAAGAACUAUACUAGAAAUAGAGAUCAAGCCACAUGGAACGCAAUGAUUGCUGGGUACACACAGAAUGGGCUGGUUGAAGAAGCUUUUGUUACCUUUUCACAAAUGCUUGAGCAAAAUCUAAGGCCUAAUUCUGUGACCUUAGCAUCCAGUCUCCCAGCUUGUAAUCCAUUAGGAAGUAUAGAUUCAGGAAAGCAGCUCCAUGGAGUUGCCAUUCGAUUUUUAUUGGACCAUAAUAUCUUUGUCAGAACUGCCCUUGUUGACAUGUACUCUAAAUCAGGUGCAAUCAAUUAUGCUGAAAGUAUUUUUACCAAAUCUUCUGAGAAAAAUUCUGUCAUGUACACGUCAAUGAUAUUGGGUUAUGGUCAGAAUGGGAUGGUUGAGAGAGCUCUCUCUUUGUUUCAUUCAAUGCAGAAAUCUGGUAUUGAGACUGAUGCAAUUACUUUUGUUGCGGUCUUGUCAGCUUGCAGUUAUGCUGGUUUGGUUGAUGAAGGUCUUCAGAUUUUUGAGUCAAUGAAGAGAGACUUUAAGAUUCAGCCCUCAAUUCAGCAUCAUUGUUGUAUUGCAGACAUGUUAGGAAGAGUUGGGAGAGUGAUUGAAGCCUAUGAGUUUGUUAAACAGCUGGGAGAGGAAGGGAAUGUAAUGCAAAUUUGGGGAUCACUUCUUGGGGCUUGUAGACUUCAUGGACUCAUUGAAUUGGGAGAGGUUGUUGCCAAUGAGUUACUUGAAAUGGGUUCAGUAGACAGCACAGCAGGCUAUAAAGUCUUGCUCUCCAAUAUGUAUGCUGAAGAAGCAAACUGGGAAAGUGUUGAUAAAUUGAGGAAAGAGAUGAGGGAAAAGGGUCUGCGAAAGGAAGCCGGCUGUAGUUGGAUUCAUAUUGCAGGUCAUGUAUUCCAUUUUAUGUCUAAAGAUAAGAAUCACCCUCAUUGUGAUGAAAUAUAUGAAGUGUUGGAAAGGUUAGUAUUGGAGAUGAAAGAUACUGAUCAUAGUCCAUUUCCUGGGUGUGUUUGACAUGUUUUUAUGUCAGAUGGAAUUACUAGUGGACAAUUAACCUUUGGUAAAACAAAUACUGGUAGCCAGUGGCAAGUGGUGUUGCUAUAACUGUUUGGGUUUUCUGUUUAUAGUGAAAAAUGAAAAUCACUAUCAUGUGAAAUCGGAGAAUGAACAGAAGAUAGAGAAGAAAUUGAGCAAGAAUAGAAAGAAUAACAGAUAGGAGAAAUAUUAUAGAAGCAACAGCAGAGAAACCUUAUAACAACUGUUAGAAAGCAAGCCAGAUGGGGUAGGAAUCAAGCAAUGCCCACUCUACCUUGCUCUGAAUACCAACUGUUACUAGUGAGAUUCUGAAUUGUCCUAAAACUUUAGAACUGAAGAAGAAUAAUGGAAGGAAGAGAAGAAGCAGAGAGGAGAAACAGAAGAAGAAAUGGGAAGAGGAGGAGAAUGAGAGAAUUAGAGAGAUAUCUGUUGUAUCAUAUAGAUUUUGUGAUUGAUUGCAAAAUAGCCUCUGCAUUGUUAUGAAUACAAUCAAUAACUGAGGGUUUAAGAAGAAAACUGUUAAGUUCCCUAGUUAAGGAUCGCACGGGUCUGUGGGUAGGAGAGUCGCCUUCAGCUGUGACCUUGCCUUUAUUACGAUUCCCACCUCUUCAGAUGGAACUCAUGAUGAAGAAAUAUGAGAGCUCAAUGGAGGGAGCUCGGGUACCUCAAAGCUCGGUAAAAAAGUACUUUAGAUCUUGAAAAAAUUUGGUAAAUAGUUUAUGCUUAUUUUAUUCAUUAGUAAUAAUUCCUUUUUAUAGUGAGACUUAUAAUGCAAAUAACUAAUCAGAUACAAGUAGAGUUUUAUUUGAACUUAUCACUUAUCUAACUGAUAAGAUAAAGAUAAAAUCUAAUCUAACUAUUUAAUAAAUUUAGAUUAAUUUAGAUAGAGAUAGAUCUCUUAAUCUAAAAUAUAAACUUCUAUCGCCGAUGAACUUCUAAUUUUGUUUGGAGCGCUUGUAGUACUUACCCACGAAUGCAUCCAUAACAUCACUCCCACCCUAGAAAAAUAGCUUAUCCUCAAGCGGAAAGGAAGGAUAAGCGUCUUGAAAAUGAGAUAAGGAUUUCCAGGUGACAUCAGUAUUGGAAUAGCCAGUCCAAGCAACUAAGAUUUUCCAUGAACCAUGAUUCAGUUGAGAUUGGAUGAUGUGAAUUGGAGUUGGAACAUUUCGGCCAUCUAGUGUGGGAGGCAAGGGAGGAAUGUCAAUCGGAAGUUCUCCUUUAAAUGGCUUGAGUAAGGAAACAUGGAACAUCGGCCACUUUAUUUAAAGGACCUACCUUGUAGUCCACUCGAAAAUCAAAACCCAACAAUUUACGGAUCCAAUGUUAUUGAGGAGAAGUGGUCAAACGUUGUUCAAGCAAGUAUUUGAGGCUAUAAUGGUCAGUCCGGAUAAGGAAUUUCCUCCUCCAUAAAUAAUGACGUCGGUGUUAGACCACUUUCGCUAGCCUAAUGAGCUCACUUUCGCUAGCCUAAUGAGCUCGCGAUCAUAUGCCACUAGUUUGAAGUGUCUUGCGGCCAAUUUCUGACUGAAAAAAGCAAUUGGAUGACCAUGCUGUUAAAUAACAGCCCCUAUACAUUCCCCAGAUGCAUCGCAUUUGACAACAAAUUCAAAAUCAAAAUCUGGUAAUUGAAAAACUAGAGAGUUUGCAAGUGUUGCCUUUAAUUGUUGAAAUGCCUCUCUAGCUAUAGUAGACCAUUGAAAAUUAUUUUUCUUCAAUAAAUUUGUAAGAGGAUUUGCGAUACUACCAUAGUCUUUAAUAAAUUUCUAAUAGUAGCUUGCAAGGCUAAGAAAAUUACAAAGGGUUUUAAUAGAUUGUGGUUCUAGCCAUUCAGUUAUUGUUGAAAUUUUACUUGCAUCUGCUGUCAUCCCUACGUCACUUAUGACAUGACUUAAAUAGGACAUCUAUUUAGCACCAAAAGAGUAUUUAGAGUGCUUUAGGAAUAAAUGAUGUGAACAUAACAAAGUGACAACCUUUUAAAUGUGGCUUAGAUACUCCUUCGAUGAUUUCCUGUAGAUUAGAAUAUCAUAAAAAAGAUAAGUACAAAAUUUUUCAAAUGAGGAGAAAACACAUUGUUCAUAAGUGCCUGAAAAGUAGAAGGCACGUUAAUAAGGCCAAAUGGCAUAAUAAGAAUUCAAAAUGGCCAUGAUGUGUGCAAAAAACUGUUUUUUCCACAUUUUCAGUAUCCAUUCGAAUUUGGCGGUAGCUGGAGCGCAUCUAGUUUGGUAAAAUAUUGAGGCCUGUGCAGCUCAUCAAGUAAUUCAUCGACCACGGAGAUCAUUUAAUUCCCUGUAAUCUACACAAUCUCCACGAACCAUUUUGUUUUUUAAUAAAUAACACAAGUAAUGAGAAAGGAGAGCGGCUUGGACGGAUUAUACCUUGUUGAAACAUGGAUACACAUUGUUUUUUAUUUUCAUCCUUUUGAAUAUGUAGGUAGCGGUAUGGUCAUACUACUACAAGUGAGGAUUGAAGGAACAAACAAAUUUGAUGAUGGCAUGAUCUUAUGGGCGGCAACCCAUUCAGCUCAUGAAAUGAAUAAGAAAAUUCUGCCAACACUGACUCUAAAGAGGAAUCGCCUCUAUUUCUUAUAGAAUGGACUUGUGGUUUAAGCUCUUGUUGCCGGCCAUGUAGCAUAACCUGCUUUCCCUCUCCAAGAAAAUCCAUAGUUAAACCUUCAAAAUCUCUGUAACGACCCGAAAAUCGGACCGCUACCGGCGCUAGGGUUCAGAUUGACUUAAGGUCGCCUGAACCCAUAGCAAGCCUACUAUACAUUAUGUGUACCUGAUAAAAUCUCAUACAUGAUCAUACAUUAUAACAAAAACUUAAACAUUUCAUGAACCAAGACUUGACCUGUGCAUGUAACAAAACUGAAAACAUAAAACUCAUACUAGAGCCCUCAUCAAAUGCUCUAGUAUGGUAAACAUUACAUGCAUCAAGCUUGGUUUAAACAUAACUCAUAAUCAAAACUUUUACAUAAAGAUCAUGUUAACGGGAUUACAAAGAUAGAAACUAGGGCAAAAUAUAAUUCUAUUCCAUUAAAAUUUACAUGUCCACACUAUGCUAUUACAUUAGUCUAUACUACCAACUAUUACAUUAGUCUACAGUUUAAUAAUUAUAUGCUCGUAUGAAAUGCAUCACAACACAAAUAUUCACAUCAAGAUGGACUUGUCACCAGUAAUCCUCUACAAAUUUCAAUAGUGCCCGACGCUCGACGGAGCUCCUCAGGACUUCCUCUUAUACAUAACAUAAUAUAUCCACAAUGCCAGGGGCGUAGAAUGGGCAGUCUUGGUCUUUCCUUUACAUAGUGCCAGGGGCGUAGAAUUGGCAGUCCUGGUCUUUCCCUUACAUAGUGCCAGGGGCGUAGAAUGGGCAGCCCUGGUCUUCCCAUAUCCAUCAUAAUAUAUCAUACUCGAGGGUUAGUGGGUUAUCCAACAUCCAUCCACAUCAACAGUAAAUUAUGCAAUGCAUCAUAUUCGUGAAUUCUAAUGCAAAACAAUCUAAUACAUAUACAUGGCUUUCGUAAUGCAUGAGCAUGCUUAAAAGGUUUCAUUUUUUAAAAUAAUAAUUCAAUUUAGUUCUACUCACCUCUGGUUGACGCUUGCCUAAAACUAAUACAAUUAUCUCAUUGUAGACCUCUACGGUCUCCCAGGUUCGAUCCUACACAGAUGAACUCAAAUGAGGGACCAAACAUAACUAUUACAUGACUCUAAACAACUCCCAAAGAACCCCCUAAAACAUAUCAAAACAUGCACAUAAAACAAGCAGAGGAAGGCUGGGUAGGGGACUUUCGGCGGUAUGUUCGACAACCGAAGGUCCCUCACAGAUCCAAAAGUCAGGGACUUUCGGGGGCAGGUUCGGCGGCCUAAACCCUUCACAGAUUAGAAAGUCAGCAACCUUCGGGGGUGGGUUCGACGGCUUAAACCCCUUCACAGAUCUGAAAGUCCAUGCUUUCGGGGGCAAGUUAGGCGGCCAAAAGGCUGCUUCCAUAAGCAGGUUCGGCGGCCAAACCUUGCUUCGGCGGCCGAACUUGGGUUCUCCAGCAAGGCAGAAUCCGAUUCUGCCCUAUGAACACAGCCACCUAACACUCCGAUCCUCGCACCCAACUACUAAACAACAUGCAUACUCACUUAUCAUGCAUACUCACUCAUCAUGCAUAAAGGAUAUAAAAACUAGCUUAAUCCCCAGCCAGCAGCAACAAAAGCACAAGAGAGAGCAUUUAUCAUCUAAACUAACACAAAUCCUAAAGUUUUAGAUCUAACCAUUUCAUGCAUUAUUAACCCUUAACCCAUUCUUAAAACUUAUUUAAACAUAGAAAAAACAAAGAUCUAGACUUACCUCUUGAAGAUCUAAAGGUGACAGCAACUCCAAUGUGGAGAUGAGGUAAAACGGUCUCCGGAGGUCUCCAAGGUUUAAAAAUUUGGAUUCAAGCUCAAAUCUUCAAAAACAAAAGGAAACUUAUUAAUUUUCUGAAAGAUUUGAAGGAAAAACAACAACGAACAACAAAGGAAGGGCAAUGACUCACCUUUGCUCGAAAAUAGAGAGAAAGCUCUCAUUUUUGGGCUGAAGGCCUCUUAUAGGUGGCUGGAUAAACCACCUUCGGGAGCCGAAAGGGAAAGUCCUGCGGCGGCACCACCUUUGGCGGCCGAACCUGAGGUUUUCCUUCAAAACUCUUUUCUUUCUUUUUUUUUAACACGAAACCUUACUAUUUUCAAAUUUAUUUUAUAAAAACCUUAUUUUACCCCUUUUAAGGAGAUUUCAGCUUCAAAAAUUCUGGAUUCCAACGGGAAUUCUGUUGUAAGGUUGGAAUUCUGACGCCGGAGUCUAGCCGGGUAUUACAAUCUCAUAUAAUUGGUCCUAAAGUUUUGAGUCACUGUACUCCAAGAUCCACAUCAAAAUCAUCUAAUGGUAAUAAAUAAAAUUCAAUAGGAAAUUGUUCACCUUCAGUUCACAACUGUUCAACACUCAGCUUAGUACUCAGAACCUUUUCUUCAUUAGCUACCGCUACCUGCAAUCCAGCAUGGGGUUAACUCAACAGCUUAAGUCGUUGGACAUCAACCUAACUUAUGAAAUUAUGCGUGCUGUCCGAGUCGACUAGUACUGGAAUUGGACAACCCCUAAUCUAAGCUAUUAAAUGCGUCGUUUGUAAAUUUUUAAUCCAGAAAUAGCAUAUAAGGAAAUAGCGGGCUCAUCCGAUACCAAUUCUGGAAACUCGCCUAUUGCAUCCUCUUCUAGCUCAACACAAAACAGCUUCUUACAUCGGUGUCUAAAGGAGUAUGUUUCAUCACAAUUAUAACAAAGCCCCUUUGCCCAUCUCUCUGCCAUCUCUAUUCUACUUAAUUUUUUUUUAUGUAAGUUGGUGUGACACUACAUGUGCUAGACUAUUGCAUGGACUUACCAGAAACUGAAAGUUGUUUGACGGAUGAAAAUGUGGCUGUGGUGGGGGUUUUGGACUAACCCAAGAACGAGGUUUGUAAAAUCCUACUCUACUCAGUUGUUGUUUUCUCUCAAAUGCUCGGACCCAAUUCAUGGUUGUAGCUAAGUUUGGAGGGCGUUGCAUUUCCACCUCAAGGCGGAUACUUUCAGUUAAGCCAAUAGUAAAUAAAUCUACUUACUGAUCCAUUCUCACCGUUUUUGCUCGGGCCAACAAGUUUUGAAACUGUUGUUGGUAAUCCUCCACGGAUCUAAACUGAUUUAAAUUGACUAAUUCCCCUAAGGGAUUGUUUCGGAGAGGAGAGCUGAAACACAUGUUGCAAAGCUCUUGGAAAUCAUUCCAAGAGAGAGUUGGCUCUUCCUGUUGACAGCAUUGAAUUCGUCAAUUAAAACUUAUUUUACAUUCCUUGAUUUAAACUAAUUUGUAGAUAGGUAAAUAAGUGUUGAUUCCAUAGAGACCUUAAUUUUGUUUAAUUUAGAUGACUAGUAGAAUAAGAAAAAUAAUUUAAAACAUAAAAAAGAGAAGAGAAUCGUUAUUUGGAGAAAUUGAUUUAAAAAUAAAACUGAAAGAAUAAAAACAAAGCAAUUAAGAUGGUGAAAUAAAUAACAAAUUAAAAUUUAGUUGAAAGUAAUCAAAAUUUAGAGGUUGGCAGUUGAUAAUUGAUUAGAAAGCUAAUUCAUUUUAUUAUCUAUUGUUUGGUUAUAGUGUUCAAAUAUGCGAAUCCCACCGAUUAUUUCUUAUGAUUAAAUUAAUCCACUAUGUGCUUAAAUUAAUUCUUAACUAACUAAUAACUCUAAUAUGUGUGUAGAUUUAAUUAGUUAAUUGUUUUAAAAGAGAAAAAAUCUAAACUUGAUCAAUAACAGCACGCAAAUUAUUUAAAUAAAAUCAAUUAAUUCCUUAAAAUACAUGAAUAUGCUAAUUGCUACUUGUUAUUAACUCAAUUAAAUAAUUGCAAAUUCAAUUGGAUUACUUAAUAAUAUGUUGUUUUUCUAGGAGAUUCAAUAGGUCUCUUGUAUUUCUAAGAGUAUAACAAUAGAGGUGAUAUUACUCAAAAAUAGAAAUUAAUUAAAAAUAGAAAUAAGAUGAAGAGAAGUUAAUAAUAUAAUUUCACAACUUUGAAUAAAUCUUAAUUUUGAUUAACCUUCACUGAAAAAAAAUGUAUUUAACCUCGAAAGGUCAUAAUAAAAUUGCAAAGAAAUAAAGAAAAGAGAAGAAUAAGAAGGCGGCUAGAGGGGGGCUGAAUAUGAGAGAAGAGGGAAAAAUAUGAGAUACUUAGGUUAAUUAUAGGGCAACCUUUAUAUAAGUUUUUCCCAACAAAAAAUAAAUAUUUACAAUUUAAAAGAAAUUCAACUACUCUUAUGAUAACUCUUAUCUCAAUCAUACUCUGAUUGUGUUUGCUUUUAUCUGAAAUUGAUAUAGGCUCUAUCAGAAUUACAGCUAGCAAAAUCGAAAUUCUGGAGUCUGUCCAUCGCCUUGGGCAAGGCUGUACCCUCCAGUCAGAAAAACUUCUAAUUCAGUAUCUUUUUGUUCAUUUUCUCAAUUUUUGAUCAUAAACCUGUUCAAAAUUAAAUUUCAAGUAAAAAUCAAUUGUUUUCAUUAAUAUCAUAGCAAAAUCAUGAAAUUUAAUAUGGAAAAAGUGGUGAGUUUUGCAACUCAUUAGAUUCCCUCAUACUUGCACAUUUCCUUGUUCUUAAACAUAAAAAUUCAAAACAACAAUAAAACACAACCUUGUUCUCAACCAUUUGAAACUUAAGUUGUUCAAAACAAAGAACCAAAUUGUCAUACAAUAGGAUAAUAUGUGAAAUAGAUUAAUUUCACCAAAGUUCACUUCAACAAGUUUCAUGUUUAAAAUGGAUUUCUCAAGGCAUCAAAUUAGUUCCCAAUUCAAUUUCAAGCAUAUAAAAUAUUAGAAUGUCAUAUGAUAUUAAACUGUCCUUUUGAAAGAAUAGACUCUUAGAAACUUCUAAUUAGACCAAUAAAAUUUAAAGACUUGGAGGAUUAGUUUUACACUUCCUACUAUAUCUUGCUUGAAGCCGAUGGAGUGAAUGUGAAAUAAAUGGUUACUAAGCCACUUGCCUUAGAUUAUUUAGCUCAUGCUGCUACUAGUUCCACUCAUGGUCACUAGAUUAAAAGGCAUGGAGUGAGUUUUUUUUCUUUUUUUUUUUUUUCAACGAUCAAAAAGGGGAGAUACUCUCUCAAAUACCGAUUUUUUCAUAUAGAAUCACCUUAAGGGGUCAUCAAGUACCGCACUACUUGGGUCAUUGGAUUGGUAACCAAAUAAUCAAGUAACUAGAGGAGUGAGUUAUACGCGUGUAUUUAUUUUGCUUUUUUUUCUUUUUUCUUAUUUUUUUUGACACCCCUUAAUUUUUACAUAAUCAUAUGGUCUAAACAAUAUUUUUAAAGUUAUUCUUAACAGAGGGCAGCAAUUCAUUUAAAGAACAUGCAUUCAUUACCCAACUAUUUAGACAAUGACCAUAUUUUAUGAACUCUCAAAACAACCCUUAAAAAUAAGAUUAGUAAAAUGAACAAUAAAAAAUUUAUUCUAUUUAAGCUAACAUAUAAAUGGCAUAAAAACAUGAAUUCUAUGAUAAAUGAGAUAUCAAUUUCUCAUUGCAAGGAACUGAUAAAAAAAUAUAUAUUUUUUUAUUUUUAUACUUUUUUAAUUUUUUUCAAACCUGAAAAUAAUACUGAAAAAACCAAAAAAAGUUAAAAUUCAAGAAACAAUUCAGCAAGUGCGAGUGUUGAGAAAUUGCUGAGAAACAGAAUAAGUCUUACAAGCUUAGGCAAACCUCUAGCAAUCAACAGAAAAAUUAUGCAGAAAUAGCAGAAUAGAAGAAAAAUUUUCAGAACACAACAGAAAAAUAUGUACAUCAAUCAAUAAACCAAUCGCAAAAAAAUAUUUCUAUUCCAAUCACUUCUCCCCCCCCACACUUACUCACAUUGUUUUUCAAUGUGGAUAAAAAUUCAAGUAACGAGGGAAGUUCACAAAUAAAUUAGCAAAAGUGAGUCAAAGAGAACUCCCUGAGGAGUAAGUCGUUUAAAACUCAGGCUGGUGGUGGCUGGGGUAUGGGCAACCCCAAGUGAGAGAGGAUGACAUCCAACUUUGUAUCAAUGUAGUGCAUUUUUGCCUCAAUUUUGGCUAGGCGGGCUUGAUCAUCAGGUUUGACAGGUGCUGUUGAGAAAGCUAGGGCUGAUUUAUCCUCUGUCCGAAAUAAGUGCGAUCGUGGUGAAAUUAUAGGACUUGGAGGAUAAAAUACAAUUUCUUUCCUCUCGUUGAGGCAAAGUAAGCCCAUAGAGUUAAGUACAAAUAUAUCAAGAGGAAGAAUAUGCUUAGCUAUGUGCAAAUUAGUGUUUUUUGUGUCCAGCACACCCAAUCCUAUAGCUAGCAUAGAAAUCACAAAACCUAUAUAUAUAUCAUGCCCAACAUUAGAUAUACUUUUAAACUGGGAGUCUAACUAGAAACCAAAAUUAACUUUCCGUUUAUUCAACAUACACCGCAAAAAGAAAAGUUUAUACUUUAUCAGCUUGAUGGGAUCUUUAUUUUUUCCAGAAAAUGUAUAACAAAUGAACUUGUGAAUGUAUCUAAAGGCAGGGCUCUGGAUAUCAUUAGCUUUGUUCAAGUUUCCCUGUCAAUCAUUUAUAUGACAAAAUUGGAUUCUAAUCAGCUGGAUAAUUACACAAUGAGUCUAGGUACUUAGUAGUUUUAAUAUAUUCAUCAUCAUAAACACUCAGAUGCAAAUUAAAACCUAUAAUUGAACAAUGUACUAGUUUAUUAUGCAACCUAAAAUGAACUAUAGGCACAUUUAAAUUGAAAUUCUACACACCAAAAGAAAAUUCAUAGGCAGCAUGAAACUCACGGCAUAGUUCAACAUAAGAAGGACAACUUAUGACAAAAAAUUCUCUAUUCAAUAUUGUCAAUCAAAGCAUAAACCUCAUCAUACAAUUGCAACUGGGUCAAUGCAGCAUCACUUAUUCUUUUGCAAGCAUAUAUAUAUAUCAGAAUGGAGAAAAAUUUUGUACUUGACCUUAAAAUCACCUUCAAAAUUGAAGUCACCGUGCAGGUCCUACUCCUCGGGCAAAUAUCUGGGCUUCCCACCAGCUAUCCUGGGCAUUCGCUUUUUUUGUUUCUUCUUCAGAGGAGAAGUAGGUUGAGUCUCUUCACUGCUGAUGGCUUCUGCCUCUUAACCCGUUGUCCCUUUUUCAUUGGUAGUCGAGGCCGUGUCCUUGCUAUUGUACUCUGAAGCCUCCAAGACUAAUGUGGUCUUGGGUUGCAUUUAUCUAUCCUGGAGUUGCUUUAGAAUUUUGGAUUUUACCUCCCAAUCCUCUUAACUGUGCGGUUGUCGAAAUCAGUCAAAAAUAACCUUUUUGGUUAUCCACAAUUUUACAACUGUAGAUAGUGGUAAAAUGAUUAAAUCCACAUGGAAUUUAUACUUACCUAUUUUUCUUAUCAAGACCAAGUAAAUAAACUGAAAAUAAAAUAAAAUGGGGGGAUUUUGAGAUUGAUGAACUAAACUAGAAUUAAAAAUAGCAAAGUAAAGCAACUAAUAAAGUAAAGGAAAUUCAAUAAUGAGAAAAGCCUAGUUGAAGAAUUGGAUCCACUUUAGUUGUUGGGAUUGAUCAUUGAUACAUAGGUUCUUUUAUUUGACUCAAUAAAUUAGUUAUGGAGGUGGAAGACUCUUCUCACCACCAUAUCCCUUCUUAAUCAUAGAUUAACUAGAGAAUGUCCUCUAAUUGAUCACUAAUCAACAAGUUGCCAAGGAACAUCAUUGGGGCUUUUAGCAUCUUACAACUGUUAAUUGUAUUAAGAGAUAGAGAGACUUAAUUCUAGCUACCCAAACGUAUGGUGAUCUUGUUAGAUUAUGCAAUCUCCUUGGUUUUUACACCAAGAGUUACUUGUAUUUGAAUAUUUCAAGCAAUUAUGGACAUAAAACUAUCUAAACUAAUAAAUUAUUACUUUGCAAUCAACAAUCAAUGAGCCCUAUUAAUCUAAAUAACAAAGCAACAAUGGAAUUAAGUAUGAAAUUACAUAAGUAUUGAUAAAUAAAAGAAGAACAUAACAAGUUCAGAUCUCACAAUCCAUAAACAACUUGAAGUUUCACCUAAUCUUCAACUAGAAAAAGGGUUUUAGCCACUCAUGGCUGAAACUAACAAGAAAAUAAGAAAGAAGAAGAAGGAGGGCCAAUAGGCAGCUGAUGUAGCGCGCGACUGCUGGUGGUCUUUCCGAAGAUGGAGCUUCAAGCUGCUGAUUUGUUCUACUCUAUUUAUAGGUGAAUAGGCUGCCCUUGGUUUCUUGAUUUGGAUGGAGUUCUCUUCCUAUUUGGAUUUGAAUUCUUAGAAGGCAAGUAUAUCUUAUUGAGAUUCGGCUUCCUAGAUAUGAGGGAUUAAGUGCUGAGGUGUCUUGAAGGUUUGCUGAGCUGUUCUCAUGUGUUUGGGGAGAAAAAGACUUCUUGAACUUUUGAAAUUUGAAUUUCCCGCUUCUCGGCUGUCUGCUGUCACGUGCCUUUUUUGCUCGGGUUGUUUGGGCAAACAACUCGGUCAAACAUUCUGUUUUGGGUGCUAUCUGCACACUGCCUCUAUUCUGCGAGUUUGUUUGCCCAAUCUGUUUGGGCAAACAGUCUAGUCAAACAGCAAAUUAUUCUUCUCCCAUUUUAGCUUCAACUUGGUUUGGGCAAACGGACUUGGGCAAACUAGACUUGUUCUCUUUUACUCUAUUUUGGGCAGUUUUAAGGCAAUUUUUACCAAAUUACCCUUUUACACCAUUUAGUGCAAAAUAAGAUAAAAAUCACAAAAUUAGGUAGAAAAUGUGUAAAUUAUCAUAAAUAACAAUAUGAAAAAUGGGUCUAAAUUUGGCUUGAUUAAAUACCCCCACACCUAGCCAUUUGCUUGUCCUCAAGCAAAUAAACUUAGUCAAAUAAGCUUUCUUUGCUACUUGAUCCUUUAUUUCCACUUAAGCUCUUACCCUAGACCCCUACUUUGAAGCAUUGCAGUGAAGAGUGUAUGCACCAAGGUUACUUUCCUCCUUCAUUGUUUCCUUUUACUUGCCGUGUUUAUUAAUUGUUUUCCUCAUUAGAGAGUUAUACAUGCACAUAUUCUUGUUUAGUUUAGACUCUUUCUGGCUCUCGGAGUGAUUUGCCCUUACUUGAAGCACUUUAUUCAGCUUUUUGCACUUUUAUCCUUGCCUGAAAAAGUCACCAACUUUUUGACGCGAGGGUAUAUAUUUGUGAUACCCACCCCUGGUUACUCAGUUGGUCACCUGUCAAAGUGGCUACUAGCUCUGUUCAUAGUCUUUGACCAUUGGAACAUUUUUUAUUUUGUGCUUUUGAGGUCUUUGCCUUUGCUGAAUUUUUCUUUUUCUUUUUCUCAAUGAAUUGGGCAAAUCAACACCAAUUGCUAAAAUAAGUCAUAUUUCUUUAUUUUCAUUUUAUUAUUCUCUCUAACGAGUAAUUUCAUGCAUUUUCCCCAUAGCAAGCUCAAAAAUUCAAUUUAAAAGGAAAUUCCCAAAAAUGAAUACAACUCACUGCAAUUGAUUCAACUUAGGUUUAAAGGGUCAUCACAUCAAUAGGGUCAUGGAAAGAAAGCUCAUUCAAUAUAGUCUAUGUGUUUGAGUAAAGCAUAUCAAAAUAGAAAAAAGAAAAAAAAACUUUGGCUACAUGUGUGUGAGUUGAAAACAAAAAUAAAAAAAAUGAAAAAAAUUUACCUAAUGUGUGCUAAUUAAAAUUAAAGCUUAAAUGGAUAUAAAAGAAAUAAAAAAAGAAUGCAUGAAGUAUCAAAAUUCAGAGGUAUGCACCCCCACACCUAGAUCAUGCAUUGUCCUCAAUGUAUUGGAAAUAUUAAAGCUCAAAAGAAACUAAAUACUACCCUGGUGUGGUUGUUUGCCCAGUCUGUUUGGGCAAACAGUUGGCCAAACUAGGUGUUUUGGCGUGCAGGUGGCAGUAGGUGCUGGACCAGCAAUUUCAGCAUGCUCUCCAUGGGGGCCAUCCUGGCCUCAAUCAUGUCUAGGCGAGCUGCUUCUGUUUAUUGAGCUGCUGAAAGUUGCUAGUCGGGUUAUGGAGCUGGUGGAGGGUCUGCCGGCUGGGCUAGUUGUCUGCUGCCUUGCAGUUGUGUGGCGCCCAAGCACUCUUUCAUGUCUCGGGACAACUGGACUUGCAAGUAAGAUGCUGCCCACUUUGAGCAACAAUAAGAAGUUUUUGAGAAGGAGAAGAAUUGUCAUGGAGAGGGCAUAAAUAGAAUACUGAAUUUAAAUGAGAAGGGAUUGCCCUGUUUAAUUUUCUUCUCUGAUGCUCUUUCUGCCUGGGUUGUUUGCCCAGCUUGCUUGGGCAAACAACUUGGUCGAACAAUGAUCCGUGGUGUGGUUUGCCAGUCUUCCCGCGCACGGGCCUGGUGUUUGCCCGAUUGUGUGGGCAAACAGGCCGGUAAUUCUGGAUUUGUUGCUGCGUACUGCGCGAGUCUCCGCGUGUUAGGCAGAUAGUCCGCUGACAGCUCUCUCUUGUCUCUUGGGUUGUUUCUGCUGUUUGCCCAGUUUAUUUGGGUAAACAGUUUGGACAAACAACUUUCCACCUGCGAAAAUAAUUAAAACCUAGAAGUGGGUUAUGGCACUGGUUUCUGCACAUCUGGUUUUGUUUGCCCCUACUGUUUGGACAAACAAGCACAUAGCUCUGUUUUUUUUUUUUUUUUUUACAAUAAGCUCAGCUCCUAUGGAGGAUGUUUUAGUGGAGCUUCUUCCACUACUUGUACUGCAAACCCUUCAUAAAAUGGUUUCAGACGAUACCCAUUCACUUUGAAGAUCUUCCCUAUUUAUAUACUACGAAUAUCUACAGCUCCAUGGGAAUAAUUAUGCUCCACAAUGAAUGGCCCAAUCCACCUAGACCGUAGCUUACUAAGAAAUAAUUUCAAACGAGAAUCGAAGAGUAGGACUUUAUCACCAACCUUGAAUUAUUUUCUUGAAAUUCGAUUGUCAUGGGAGGCUUUGGUCUUGGCUUUGUAGUUCCAAGAAGUCUCAUAUGCAUCUCGUCUGAUUUCUUCCAGUUCUUGUAGUUGUAACUUCUGAUGGGCUCCAACCUCCUUAAGAUCCAUGUUGCAAUUCUUGACAGCCCAGUAAGCCUUAUGCUCAAGUUCAACUAGAAGAUGACAGGCUUUUUCGUAGAUCAAUCUGUAAGGAGACAUCCCUACGGGCGUCUUGUAGGCUGUCCUGUAUGCCCACAAGGCAUCUUCCAAUCGUAUGCUCUAAUCUUUUCUGCUGGGGCACACUGUUUUUUCUAAAAUGGCUUUGAUUUUUCUAUUAGAUACUUCAACUUGCCCAUUCGUUCGAGGGUGGUAGGCUAUAGAUGUUCUGUGUAUGACAUGGUGCUUUUUGAGAAGGUUUUCCACUACCUUGUUACAAAAGUGAGUCCCUCUAUCGCUGAUGAUUGCCUUGGGCACUCCAUGCCUAGCAAAGAUGUUAGUCUUCACAAAAUCCACUACCGCCUUUGUAUCAUCGGUUCUUAUUGCUCUAGUUUCUAUCUAUUUGGAUAUAUAAUCUACUGCGAGGAUUAUAUAGGUAUAUCCGAAGGAUGGUGGAAAUGACCCCAUGAAGUCUAUACCCCAUACAUCGAAUAUUUCGCACACCAUGAUAGGAUUUUGGGGGCAUUUGAUUUAUGUUGCUUAGAUUCCCAGACUGUUGGCAUCGUGCACACGAUUUGCAAAAUGAAUAUGCAUCUCUGAAAAUGUUAGGCCAAAAUAGUCCACUUUCAAGGACCUUGUGGGCUGUCUUUCAUGGUCCAAAGUGUCCACCUCAACUGUAUGAAUGGCAGAGUGUAAGGACUGAGGCUAUCUUUUGAUCUGGAAUGCACCUCCUUAUCACUUGGUCAGAACAAUGCUUCCACAGGUAUGGUUCAUCCCAAACAUAGUAUUUUGCACUCUUCUUUACUUUGUCUUUAGUGUGUUUGGGCAUAUCAGAUCGUAAGUUACCUGUGGCUAGGUAAUUCACAAUGUCUGCGUACCAUGGUUCAUCAACUUGGGCAUAGAAUGAAUAUUCAUGGAGGUGAUUUUCAUUUUUUGCAUAUUCCAGAAGUUGCUGUAUGGUGAUCCUUUAUUCGGGCAAAAAAGAUUCUGCUUUAUCUCGCUGUUUGGGCAAACAGCUUUCUGAUUAUGUAAUCUGUUUAACUUGUUUGGGCAAAUAAGUGCCCGCCUGCUUUUCAUUUGCUGUUUGCUUGGUUGAACAGCAGCCUGUAUGUGCUAGUAACCUGGAUGAACUUGAUUCUGCGCUAUCCUGCUGUUUGGAGAAGCUGGGUUCUCCUUUUUCCUGCUGUUUGGGCAAACAACAGUUUUUCUCAUGCUCUCCUGCUGUUUGACCAGCUAAUGGCACCCUAUCUGGACUGUCUACUCAACUGGUAUGGGAAAACUGUCUUCUGAUUGCUGAAGUGGUAGGGGCAGGUUGCAAUCUGUCUGCGUUGGGUACUGGGGCUAUUUGGGCAAACAGUAUUAUACUAGUUUUUCCUUUGCUGACUGUUUGGGCAAACAAUAGCCUGUUUGCUGUAUGCAGCAGACUGUUGCUGUCCUUCUUGGUUCUUUUUGGCUUCCUUCACCUUAUUGGCUGUCUCCCCUACAAAAAUCAUUGUUUAGCAUAUCAUCUUGACUCAUUUCAAAGAUUUCUUGACUCAAACAAUCAAUAAUAUCUAAGCCAUAAACAGAGAAUAUGUCAUGGGGAUAUUUCAUGGCAUCAUAAACAUUAUAUUUUAUUACUUCCCCUUCAAAUUCCAUGGUCAAUGUGCCAUUAUGCACAUCAAUCUUGGUUCUAGCUGUGCUUAAGAAAGAUCAUCCAAGCAAGAUGUUUGAGGUAGUGUUGCUGUUGUCUUCCUCCAUAUCAAUCACAUAGAAAUCUGCCGGAAAGACAAGUUGAUGCAAUUGGACAAGAACAUCUUCUAGAACACCUUUGGGAUACACCACAGAUCUGUCAGCCAGUUGUAUGACCACUCUAGUAUCUUUAAGUGCACCUGCAUUUAAAGAAUUAUUAAUAGAAAGUGGCAUAAUAUUAAUUGAUGCACCUAGGUCACACAUAGCUUUCUUGAUGCCCACAUUGCCAAUUUUGCAAGAGAUAGCAAACAUCCCUUUAUCUUUGCACUUGGCUGGAAGUUUCCUCUUUAUCACAACAAUAACAACUUCUCCUACACUUACCUUUUCCUUCUCAGCAAGCUUCAUUCGGUUUGUGCACAACUCUUUCAAGAACUUUGCAUACAUUGGUAUUUGCUUCACAGCAUCUAGUAAAGGUAUGUUAAUUUCCACUUUCCUAAAGGUUUCAAGGAUCUCUCUUUCUUCUUUUUUUUUUGUGAUUUUUCAAACCUUUUUGGAAAGGGAGGUGGAAUUUUGAAGCUUGCUUGCUGGUGCACUGGUUGUGUUUGCCCAGUCUAUUUGGGCAAACAGUUUUCUGGCUGCUUGGGCAAACAGUCCCUGUCUUGCUGUCUAUGCUGUCUGCUUGUUUGCCCGCCUGUUUGGGCAAACAGAUCUCCUGGCUCACUUUCUGGCAACUUUUCUUCAGCAGCUUGUUUUUGCAAUUCUGAUCCUCUAUCAUUAGUCUUGACAUCUUGAAGUUCUCUCCCACUUCUUAACAUGAUGGCACUUACAUUUUGCUUGGGAUUAGUCUCGGUUUGGGAAGGUAACUUCCCUUGAGAUUCAAGUUUGCUCACUGAGGUGGCUAUUUGACCCAUUUGCUGUGGGAGACUUUGCAUAGUAUUUGCCAAUGACUUCAUUAUCUCCUCAAGGUACAUGUUGGAGUUUUGAGGUGCUACUUGGGUUGGAUUUAUUUGAUAAUUUUGGUAGUUGUUAGCCCUAGCAUUGCUGAAGUUUGGAUGGUUCCUCCAACCUGGAUUGUAAGUGUUAGAGUAUGGAUUAUGUCUUGGCUGUCCAUUGAAUCCUCCUAUUGUGUUCACUUGCUAGUCAUCCCCUUGAAGUGUAGGAUAUUGAUCAGUUGGAUGUCCCACUUGAGCACAUAUCCCACAUGGCCUAAUUUGUUGAAGUUGUUGAGCUUGUUGAGCUUAGCCUAUGACAAGACUUCUCACAGCAGAGGUUAGUUCAGAAAUUUGGGAAUUAAGAGCAGAUGUAUUUACCUCAUUGACUCUCUUUGACAGCUGCCUUUCAUCUCCAUAUUGUCUUGAUGCGGCUUCAAGUGUUGAAUUCAACUCUUUAAUUGCUUAAGGCAUUCUAUCUUCAAUUGAAUCUCCACAUGCUACAUCAAUGAAUUUUCAUUCGGAUGGUAGCAAUCCUCCAUAGAAAUAUUCUAUGAGUGAUUUAUCUGAGAUGUCAUGUUGAGGGCGGUUUGUGCACAAUCUCUUGAAUCUUUCCCAAUACUCAUAUAGAUCUUCAGUCUCUUUUUGCUUUAUGCCACUUAUCUCUCUCCUUAUGCCUAUGGCUUUAGAAGUUGGGAAAUAUUUGUUUAGAAAAGCUCUUACUAUACCAUCUCAAGAAGUGAUUGAUCCAGGUGGUAGGUAGAAUAGCCAAUCUUUGGCAUAAUCAUCAAGUGAGAAGGGGAAUGCUCUUAAUUUCACAUGCUCUUCAGAUAUGCCUUACGGCCUCAUGGUAGAACAUACUAUGUGAAAUUUCUUCAAGUGUUUAUGUGGAUCUUCAUUCUCCAAACCUCUGAAUUUAGGUAAAAGGUGUAUCAAACCUGUUUUGAGCUUAAAAGGUGUUGUUAAGGGUGGAUAGGUGAUGCAAAGAGAUGCUUGAUCACCUAUAGGGGCUGCCAACUCUCUUAGUGUUCUUUCUCUUAGAAUUGGUGCCCUUAUUACUUGAUUUUCUGGUUCAACAUCAGCAUAUAUAGCAGGUUCAGCUGGUCUUCGGACAUGUGCAUCAGGUUGCAUUUGAAUUUAGCCAUCUCAGCGGCUGUUUGGACAAACUCAGCAAAGUUGUGUUCUGUUUUAGCAGGUGCUGAUUCUGUUCUUGCAAUUGCUGAUUCCGUUUCUACAGUAAAUGUUGCUGGUUCUGUUGGUACAUAAAUUUCUAGUUCAAUUGCAGUAACUUCAGUAUGUGCUGUCUCUUGGACAACAACAGUUUCAGCAGGUGCUGUUUGGACAGCAACUAUUGAUGAGGAUGGAUUUGAGGCUUGGCUUUUCGGAUUGGCAUGCUUCCUUAGUUGUUUUGCUGUACGCUAAAUUUCUGGAUCGUAAAGUAGAGUUUCCUUGCGUCCAUCCUUGAUCAUGAAAGAAAAAUAAAUUAGUUAAAUCAACUCCCCGGCAACUGCGCCAAUGUUUUACUGUGCGAUUGUCGAAACCGGUCAAAAAUAAUAUUUUUGGUUAUCCACAAUUUUACAACUGUAGAUAGUGGUAAAAUGAUCGAAUACACAGAGAAUUGACACUUACCUAUUUUUCUUAUCAAGACCAAGUAAAUAAACUGAAAAUAAAAUAAAAGGGGAGGUUUUGAGAUUGAUGAACUAAACUAGAAUUAAAAAUAGCAAAGUAAAGCAAAUAAUAAAGUAAAGGAAAUUCAAUAAUGAGAAAACCCUAGUUGAAGAAUUGAAUCCACUUCAGUUAUUGAGAUUGAUCAUUGACACAUAGGUUCUUUUAUUUGACUCAAUAAAUUAGUUAUGGGGGUGGAAGACGCUUCUCACCACCAUAUGCCUCCUUAAUCAUAAAUUAGCUAGAGAACAUCCUCUAAUUAAUCACUAAUCAACAAGUUGCCAAGGGACGUCCUUAGGGCUUUUAGCAUCUUACAACUGUCAAUUGCAUUAAGAGAUAGAGAGACCUAAUUCUAGUUAUCCUAACAUACGGUGAUCUUGCUGGAUUAUGCAAUCUCCUUAGUUUUUACACCAAGAGUUACUUGUGUUUGAAUAUUUCAAGCAAUUACGGACUUAAAACUAUUCAAACUAACAAAUUAUUACUUUGCAAUCAAGAAUCAAUGGGCCCUAUUGAUCUAAAUAACAAAGCAACAAUGGAAUUAAUCAUGAAAUUGCAUAAAUAUUGACAAAUAAAAGAAGAACAUAACAAGUUCAAAUCUCACAAUCUAUAAACAACUUGAAAUUUCACCUAAUCUUCAAUUAGAAAAAGGGCUAACAAGAAAAUAAAGAAAGAAAACAAGAAAGAAGAAGAAGGAGGGCCGACGGGAGGCUGCUAGUGGUCUUUUCGAAGAUGAAGCGUCAAGCUGCUGGUUUGUUCUACUCUAUUUAUAGGUAAAUAGGCUGCCCUUGGUUUCUUGAUUUGGAUGGAGUUCUCUUCCUAUUUGGAUUUGAAUUCUUGGAAGGCAAGUAUAUCUUCUUGAGAUUUAGCUUCCUAGAUAUGAGGGCUUGAGUGCUGAGGUGUCUUGAAGGUUUACUGAGCUGUCCUCACGUGUUUGGGGAGGAAAAGAUUUCUUGAAGUUUUGAAAUUUGAAUUUCUUGCUUCUCCGCUGUUGCAGGCCUUGUUUGCCCGGGUUGUUUGGACAAACAACUCGGUCAAACAGUCUGUUUUGGGUGCUAUCUGCACACUGCCUCUGUUCUGCGGGUUUGUUUGCCCAGUCUGUUUGGGCAAACAGUCUAAUCAAACAGCAAAUCAUUCUUCUCCCAUUUCAGCUUCAACUUGGUUUGGGCAAAUGGACUUGGGCAAACCAGGCUUGUUCUUUUUUACCCUCUUUUGGGCAGUUUAAGGCUAUUUUUAUCAAAUUACCCUUUUACACCAUUUUCUGCAAAAUAAGAUCAAAACCACAAAAUUAGGUAGAAAAUGUAUAAAUUAUCAUAAAUAACAAUAUGAAAAAUGUGUCUAAAUUUGGCUUGAUCACCUCUUCCUCAUCGUCGAUAAGCAGCUCAUUAAUAGAGGUUUUACCCUUUACAUGUGAACGUGUCUUUCUCCUUGUCGCGACCAGCGGAGAGGACGGUGAAGGGGCCGAAGACGGCAUUGCUGGCGCAAGGGACGGCGAGGGUGAUGCGGCUACCACCUACGAUGGCACUAUCGGCGUGUUUGUCACUCUUCCAAUGGCGCACAAUUCUGUCAUCGAAGCUACUGGCAUUGUCGCUUAAGCGCGACAGUGGCGCAAGAAGGAGCACGCGGCGCAUGGCAUGGUGUCGGGCUAUGGUGUUUUUGCCAUGGUGUACCUACAAUGAAGAGAGAGACGCGAGGGGGAGAGAGUUCUCGAGGAAGAAAAGAAAAAAAUAUAGGUUUUGAGUUUAUAUAUUUAUUUAUUUUAUUUUUUUGAAUAACAGUAAAUAAAAGAUAAUAAAAUAAAAUUACUUUUCUUUAAAGCAAUUUCAAAAAUAACUUACCAUCCAAAUAACCAUUGAAGGUCAUAAAUGGUCUCCAUAGAAUCUGGAUUUGUCCAGAAAGUCUAAUCUACUCUAAGGUUGAAGAUAAUAGAGAAAUAAAUUAAAAACUAAAAAUUAAAAGAAAAACUUAUUAGUGACUGUACAGGCUUGGACAAGCCUAUAACCUUGGGUUACCUCCUAAGCAGCGUCCUUGUUUAUUGUCCUAGGCUGGACUUCCCUUCCUUUAAGCUUCAAUCUGUGCUACCUCAAGAAUCGUAAUUUCUUCAUCCUUAGGCUUGAACUCUUCAUAGAAAGGUUUGAGCCUAUGGUCAUUCACUUUUAAAAUUUCACCAGUUUCAAGAUUUUGAAUUUGCACGGCUCUAUGGUUAAAUGUCUUAAUUACAACAAACGGACCAAUCCACCGUGUCCUUAAUUUCCCUGGAAAAAGUUUUAACUAAUAAUGGAAAAGUAAAACCUUUUGCCCCACCUAAAAACUUUUUCAAGAAAUUGAUUCAUCAUGAAAUGUUUUGGUUUUCUCCUUGUAAAUUCUGGCACUAUUGUAGGCUUCAUUCCUUAUUUUCUUCAGUUCUUGCAAUUACAACUUUCAGUUAGAACUUGCCUCAAUUGAGCUGUUGUUUCACUGCUUUAUCGUCCAUAAAGCUUUAUGCUCUAGUUCAACUGGCAAAUGGCAAGUGUAAUACCCGGCUAGAGUCCGGCAUUGGAAUUUCUGUCGUCCGGUGGAAUCCAGGAUGUCGGAAUGCUCUAGGAGGGUAAGAGUUAUGUUUUUUCUAACGUAAUGUAGGAUGUUUUCAUGUUUUAAGUUAACAAGAACCGAAUUUAGGCUUGACCCACAUACUGAAGCAAAUCCAGAAACUUAUCUGUAAACUCGUCAACACUCAUCUUGUCUGUCUGUCUCAACUGCUCAAAUUCUAUUACUUUCAUCUCCCUGGAGCUAUCAGGAAAAGCCCACCCAACAAACUCGUUGGCGAACUCUCCCCAUGACAUACGGUCAAUCCUGGGUGCCAUAUAGUUCUUGAACCAUUCUCGAGCUUUCUUACAUUUCAGUGUAAACCCCGCCAUCUCAAUGGCUCGACUAUCAUCAGCUCCCAAUUCACUGGUUAUCAUCCUAACUGAUCUGAGGUAUUCAAAUGGAUCAUCUCCCGUGUUGUAUUUGGAAGCAUCCAAUUUCAAAUACUCUGUCAUUUGCACAUUACCUCCAGAUGAGCUAGGUUGCUGUCUUUGGGCAACAGGAGCUACUGGUUCUGGUUGUGGUGGUAGAGGUACUAGUUCAUUUAGUUCUGGGUGUGCUGCACUUAGGUGGGUAGGGGAAGAUGGAUACAUAGGAUAUGGUGGGUAAUAAUGAGGAUAAGGCAUAUAUGGCAUAUAAGUAGGAUAUGGGACAAAACUAGAGUACUCCGACAUACCUCCCAUCGGAUACCCUGGGUCCUGAGGAAAGGCUGGAUACCCAAACCCCGAGGCCUGAGCGCCUCCCUGAGACUCUCCCAUACCUUCAUCAGAUCUGCCUACACCCAUGCUUUCCUCCACUAACUGGUCAACCUCCAUAGCCUCCUUCACUUCCUCUGAUCUCCCUCCUCUAGCUGUUUCUCUUCUGCUCUCGUCUACAGACCUUCUAGGGUCUAUUGACGUACCUUCCCUUCUAGAUCUCUACGACCUUACCCUUGGCAAUGCAGGAGGACAAACAUUUGUUCUCUCACUCUCUGGUGGGACUCCAGUCAAUCGAGCUGAUCGACGAGUUCCUCGCAUUUUCUUUCUGGAAAACAAUACAUAACAUAGCAACAUAUAAGUAACUCAUAUACCAGUAAAGCACAUGCAUAUCAUGGCAUUUCAUAGCAUCAAAUAGACAGGACGCAACAUCCUAUCCUAGUGGACAUGAUUUCCUAUUGUGCUUGACUUUCUCUAACCUCUAUAAGCCCGACACUCUCUCUAUAGGUCCGAUCAUGUGAACCUAGGGCUCUGAUACCAAUCUGUAAUGACCCCAAAAUGGACCGCCACCGGCGCUAGGAUUCAGGUCGGCUUAAGGCCGCCAGAACCCGUAGCAAGCCUGCUAUACUCUCUGUGUACCUGUAAAUCUCAUACAUGAUCAUACAUUUUCUGUGAAGCCGUACCGCAGAGUAGUGGCAGAGGUAGAGGGAGAGGAUCAGCCUCGACUUCAGCAGCAGGUUCCCGAGGUGGAAAUCCGGUAGCCCCAGCACGGAUUUUCACAGUGACACAGGAGGAGGCUAACACGUUGAACACAGUGGUGUCAGGUAAUCUCAUCAUUGGGUGUUCAGAUGUGUAUGCUUUGAUGGACCCCGGUGCUUCUCAUUCCUUUAUUGCUUCUAGAGCCAUAGAGAGAUUGGGUUUGAUGAGUUCUGAGUUAGAGUAUCCUCUCUGGAUCAGUGGACCCAAGUGUGACCCAUCAGAGGCAGUUCCAGUGUUCAUAGAGGGUAGAUGCCUUCCAGCUGACCUUGUGGUUCUAGACUUGACAGAUUUUGAUGUCAUUCUAGGGAUGGAUUGGUUAUCUGCAUAUGGUGCGACCUUGGACUGUAGAGAGAAGGUAGUGAGUCUCAGAGACCAGGAUGGGUCAGAGUGUGUCUUCAGGGGUGACAGGAGAGGUACACCCAGAGGUUUGAUUUCAGCCCUUCAGGCUCGUCGUUUGCUUAGGAGGGGUUGUCAGGGGUUUCUAGCUCAUGUGAGGGAGCUAGAUAGUCAGGUUAGGGAACCAGCCACAGUACCAGUAGUCCGAGAGUUUCUAGAUGUGUUCCCAGACGACCUUCCAGGACUACCACCUAGUAGGGAGAUAGAGUUUGAAAUUGAAUUGCUACCUGAGACCAGACCUAUCUCUAUUCCUCCCUACAGGAUGGCACCAGCAGAGUUAAAAGAGUUGAAAGAACAGUUGCAGGAUUUGGUAGAUAAGGGUUUCAUCCGCCCUAGUACCUCACCUUGGGGUGCUCCAGUGCUCUUUGUCAGAAAGAAGGAUGGAUCCCUCAGACUUUGUAUCGACUACAGACAGUUGAACAAGGUCACUACAAAGAAUAGGUAUCCUUUACCUCGGAUUGAUGAUCUAUUCGACUAGCUAGCUGGAGCAGGUUGUUUCUCUAAAAUAGAUCUAAGAUCUGGAUAUCAUCAGUUGAGAGUCAGAGAGGCAGAUGUGCCAAAGACAGCUUUCAGGACCAGAUUUGGGCAUUAUGAGUUCUUAGUGAUGCCGUUCAGGUUGACUAACGCCCCAGCAGCAUUCAUGGAUCUCAUGAACCGAGUGUUCAGCGAGUUUCUGGAUCACUUUGUUAUUGUUUUUAUCGAUGACAUCUUAGUGUAUUCUAGAGAUGCAGAGGAGCAUGCCCAGCAUCUGAGGAUAGUUCUGCAGACACUAAGAGAGCAUGGUUUGUAUGCCAAGUUCUCUAAGUGUGAGUUUUGGUUGAGGAGCAUUUCCUUCUUGGGACAUGUGGUAUCAGCAGAAGGGAUUGAGGUAGACCCCAAGAAGAUAGAGGCUGUAGCUAACUGGCCCAGACCCACGACAGUGACUGAGAUUAAAAGCUUUCUGGGACUGGCAAGUUACUACAGGAGUUUCGUUCAGGACUUCUCGAAGAUACUGGCUGUACAACACUGCCUGAACUCAUCUGCUGGGAUGGUGCAAAAAUCACCUGAGGACAUUCCCGAGCAAAAUGCCCUUCCUGUCCACACCUAAAACAGGCUGAAGAUCCCAACUGACAAGCUCCCUUGUGUGGUCUCCCACAUCUUCUACAUACUGGACUGCUUGCACCAGAACUUAAGCCACUACCCAUUCCUAGACCUGACUUGACUUUACUCCAGAACUUACUCUUUGUUCCUUUUGCUCUAUCCCAUCUCUUGAUGCCUGAAGUUCCUGAACUGGGGGCCUUCGAACCCGAAGCCUAUGCCUUUGACUGUCUACUGACUCAAAAGAACCAGAAGUUUAUCUAGUCAGACCAGUGUGAAGAGAGCUUUGAGGAGCUCAAGAGGAGAUUGACGUCAGCACCAGUGCUAGCUCUGCCUGUUAGUAACGAGGAUUUCACAGUAUUCUGUGAUGCAUCUCGAGUGGGAUUGGGUUGUGUUUUGAUGCAGAGUGAUAGGGUGAUUGCUUAUGCUUCUAGACAGUUGAAGAAGCACGAGUUGAAUUACCCCACCCAUGACCUAGAGAUGGCAGCUGUAAUACUCGGCUAGAAUCCGGCACCGGAAUUCUUAUUGUCUGGUGGAAUCCGGGGUGUCGGAAUUUUAAAAAGGGUAGGAGUUAUGUUUUUAAUAGGUGUUAUGAUGUGUUUAAAUGUUUUAAAGAUAAGAGAAGUGAGUUUUGAGUUGAAAUAACCUAAGGCAGUUGAGCCAAGUUCGGCCGCCGAAAGUAAGUUCGGCCGCCGAAAGUGUUUGGCUNNNNNNNNNNNNNNNNNNNNNNNNNNNNNNNNNNNNNNNNNNNNNNNNNNNNNNNNNNNNNNNNNNNNNNNNNNNNNNNNNNNNNNNNNNNNNNNNNNNNNNNNNNNNNNNNNNNNNNNNNNNNNNNNNNNNNNNNNNNNNNNNNNNNNNNNNNNNNNNNNNNNNNNNNNNNNNNNNNNNNNNNNNNNNNNNNNNNNNNNNNNNNNNNNNNNNNNNNNNNNNNNNNNNNNNNNNNNNNNNNNNNNNNNNNNNNNNNNNNNNNNNNNNNNNNNNNNNNNNNNNNNNNNNNNNNNNNNNNNNNNNNNNNNNNNNNNNNNNNNNNNNNNNNNNNNNNNNNNNNNNNNNNNNNNNNNNNNNNNNNNNNNNNNNNNNNNNNNNNNNNNNNNNNNNNNNNNNNNNNNNNNNNNNNNNNNNNNNNNNNNNNNNNNNNNNNNNNNNNNNNNNNNNNNNNNNNNNNNNNNNNNNNNNNNNNNNNNNNNNNNNNNNNNNNNNNNNNNNNNNNNNNNNNNNNNNNNNNNNNNNNNNNNNNNNNNNNNNNNNNNNNNNNNNNNNNNNNNNNNNNNNNNNNNNNNNNNNNNNNNNNNNNNNNNNNNNNNNNNNNNNNNNNNNNNNNNNNNNNNNNNNNNNNNNNNNNNNNNNNNNNNNNNNNNNNNNNNNNNNNNNNNNNNNNNNNNNNNNNNNNNNNNNNNNNNNNNNNNNNNNNNNNNNNNNNNNNNNNNNNNNNNNNNNNNNNNNNNNNNNNNNNNNNNNNNNNNNNNNNNNNNNNNNNNNNNNNNNNNNNNNNNNNNNNNNNNNNNNNNNNNNNNNNNNNNNNNNNNNNNNNNNNNNNNNNNNNNNNNNNNNNNNNNNNNNNNNNNNNNNNNNNNNNNNNNNNNNNNNNNNNNNNNNNNNNNNNNNNNNNNNNNNNNNNNNNNNNNNNNNNNNNNNNNNNNNNNNNNNNNNNNNNNNNNNNNNNNNNNNNNNNNNNNNNNNNNNNNNNNNNNNNNNNNNNNNNNNNNNNNNNNNNNNNNNNNNNNNNNNNNNNNNNNNNNNNNNNNNNNNNNNNNNNNNNNNNNNNNNNNNNNNNNNNNNNNNNNNNNNNNNNNNNNNNNNNNNNNNNNNNNNNNNNNNNNNNNNNNNNNNNNNNNNNNNNNNNNNNNNNNNNNNNNNNNNNNNNNNNNNNNNNNNNNNNNNNNNNNNNNNNNNNNNNNNNNNNNNNNNNNNNNNNNNNNNNNNNNNNNNNNNNNNNNNNNNNNNNNNNNNNNNNNNNNNNNNNNNNNNNNNNNNNNNNNNNNNNNNNNNNNNNNNNNNNNNNNNNNNNNNNNNNNNNNNNNNNNNNNNNNNNNNNNNNNNNNNNNNNNNNNNNNNNNNNNNNNNNNNNNNNNNNNNNNNNNNNNNNNNNNNNNNNNNNNNNNNNNNNNNNNNNNNNNNNNNNNNNNNNNNNNNNNNNNNNNNNNNNNNNNNNNNNNNNNNNNNNNNNNNNNNNNNNNNNNNNNNNNNNNNNNNNNNNNNNNNNNNNNNNNNNNNNNNNNNNNNNNNNNNNNNNNNNNNNNNNNNNNNNNNNNNNNNNNNNNNNNNNNNNNNNNNNNNNNNNNNNNNNNNNNNNNNNNNNNNNNNNNNNNNNNNNNNNNNNNNNNNNNNNNNNNNNNNNNNNNNNNNNNNNNNNNNNNNNNNNNNNNNNNNNNNNNNNNNNNNNNNNNNNNNNNNNNNNNNNNNNNNNNNNNNNNNNNNNNNNNNNNNNNNNNNNNNNNNNNNNNNNNNNNNNNNNNNNNNNNNNNNNNNNNNNNNNNNNNNNNNNNNNNNNNNNNNNNNNNNNNNNNNNNNNNNNNNNNNNNNNNNNNNNNNNNNNNNNNNNNNNCAGAGAUAGUGCAUGCACAGGUUAAGCCUUGGUUCAGAAAAGAGUUUUAUUUUCACAUAAAAUGUAUGAUCAUGUAUGAAGUUUACAGGUACACAGAGAGUAUAGCAGGCUUGCUACGGGUUCUGGCGGCCUUAAGCCGACCUGAAUCCUAGCGCCGGUGACGGUUCUUUUUGGGGUCGUUACAGAUUGGUAUCAGAGCCCUAGGUUCACAUGAUCGGACCUAUAGAGACAGUGUUGGGCUCGGACAGGUUAGAAGUGGUCAAGCACAAUAGGAAAUCAUGUCCACUAGGAUAGGGUUUUGAGUCCUAUCUGCUAUAAUAUGCCAUGAGUAUUGUAUGUGUAUGAUUGAUAUGUGAUGUAUAUGUGCUAAAGUGGUAUGUUAUAUGUUGUGUUUCCAGAGUAAGAUGCGAGGAACUCAUCGAUCAGCUCGAUUGACUGGAGUCCCACUAGAGAAUGAGAGACCAGCUGCUCGUCCUCCUGCAUUGCCAAGGGCAAGAUCUCAGAGAUCUAGCAGGGAAGGUACGUCAAUAGACCCUAGAAGGUCUGUAGACGAGAGCAGAAGAGGAACAGUGAGGGGAGGAAGAUCAGAGGAAAGGAGGGAAGCUAUGGAGAUUGAUCAGUCUAGAGAUGACAGCAUGGGUAUAGGCAGUUUUGAGGAAGGUAUGGGAGAAUCACAGGGUGGUGCUCAGGCCUCAGGUUUUGGUUAUCCAUCCUUGUUUCAGGAGCCAGAGUAUCCGAUGGAGGGGAUGUCGAAGUACUCUCGAUUUGACCCAUAUCCUACAUACAUGCCAUAUAUGCCAUAUCCUCACUAUUACCCAUCAUAUCCACCAUAUCCUAUGUAUCCAUCUUCCCCUAUACAUCCAAGUGCAGUACACCUAGAGCCAAAUGAACCAAAUGAACCAGUACUACCACCAGAACCAGUAGCCCCUGUUGUUGACAGACAUGAACCUAGCUCAUCUGGAGGUAAAGUCCAAAUGACGGAGUACUUGAAAUUGGAUGCUCCUAAAUACAACACGGGAGAUGAUCCAUUUGAUUACCUCAGAGAAGUUAGGAUGAUCACCAGUGAAUUGGGAGCAGAUGAUAGGAGAGCCAUUGAGAUGGCAGGUUUCACAAUAAAAUGCAAAAAAGCCAGAGAAUGGUUUAAGAAUUAUGUGGAGCCUAGAAUGGACAGCAUGUCAUGGGGAGAGUUCGCCAAUGAGUUUGCAAGGUGGGCUUUUCCUGAUAGUUCGAGGGAGAUGAAAGUAAUUGAAUUUGAACAGUUAAGACAGACAGAUGAGAUGAGUGUUGAUGAAUUCACAGAUAAGUUUCUGGAUCUGCUUCAGUACGUGGGUCAAGCCUAUGAUACUGAUCAGAAGAAAGCAAGAAGAUAUACCAUGAGACUUCAUCCCAGGUAUUCUUCUUUGAUCCUUCCAGCUGAGAAGGAGAAUUUUCACUCGAUAGUGGAUGCAGCCAGGAAAAUGGAAGCUAGUGCCAAGAUUCAGAAACAGUCAACGGCACAGGCUUCGGGUUCUAAGGCCCCCAGUUCAGGUUCUACAGGCAGUAAGAGAUGGGAUAGAGCGAGAGGAACAAGGAAAGGGUUCUGGAAUAAAGUCAAGUCAGGUCUGGGAAUAGGUAGUGGCUCAAGCUCUGGCACAGCUCCAGUCUGCAGACGAUGCGGAAAACCACAUGGCGGAGUUUGUCGGUUGGGAUCUACAGCUUGUUUUCGAUGUGGACAGGAAGGGCAUAUUGCUCGGGAUUGUCCGCAGAUGACUUUUGCACCAUCCCAGCAGAUGAGUUCAGGCAGUGUGGUACAGCCAGUUGUAUGGCCAGUAGCUCCAGUCAUGCCUCAGACUAGUGGCAGAGGUAGAGGGAGAGGGGUAGCCUCUACUUCAGCAGCAGGUUCCCGAGGUGGAAAUCCGGUAGCCCCAGCACGGAUUUUCAUAGUGACACAGGAGGAGGCUAACACGUCGAACACAGUGGUGUCAGGUAAUCUCAUCAUUGGGUGUUCAGAUGUGUAUGCUUUGAUGGACCCCGGUGCUUCUCAUUCCUUUAUUGCUUCGAGAGCCAUAGAGAGGUUGGGUUUGAUCAGUUCUGAGUUAGAGUAUCCUCUCUGGGUCAGUGGACCUAGAUGUGACCCAUCAGUGGCAGUGUCAGUCUGUCGUUUCAGUCCAGUGUUUAUAGAGGGUAGAUGCCUUCCAGCUGACCUUGUGGUUCUAGACUUGACAGAUUUUGAUGUCAUUCUAGGGAUGGAUUGGCUAUCUGCAUAUAGUGCUACGUUGGACUGUCGAGAGAAGCUAGUGAGUCUCAGAGACCAGGAUGGGUCAGAGUGUGUCUUCAGAGGAGACAGGAGAGGUACACCCAGAGGUAUGAUUUCAGCCCUUCAGGCUCGUCGUUUGCUUAGGAGGGGUUGUCAGGGGUUUCUAGCUCAUGUGAGAGAGCUAGACAGUCAGGUGAGGGAACCAGCCACAGUACCAGUAGUCCGAGAGUUUCUUGAUGUGUUCCCAGACGAUUUGCCAGGACUACCACCUGAUAGGGAGAUAGGGUUUGAAAUUGAAUUACUGCCAGGUAUCAAACCUAUCUCUAUUCCUCCCUACAGGAUGGCGCCAGCUGAGUUAACAGAGUUGAAAGCACAGUUGCAGGACUUGGUAGAUAAGGGUUUCAUCCGCCCUAGUACCUCACCUUGGGGUGCUCCAGUGCUCUUUGUCAGAAAGAAGGAUGGAUCCUUUAGACUUUGUAUCGACUACAGACAGUUGAACAAGGUCACUAUCAAGAAUAGGUAUCCCUUACCUCGGAUUGAUGAUCUAUUUGACCAGCUAGCUGGAGCAGGUUGUUUCUCGAAAAUAGAUCUGAGAUCUGGGUAUCAUCAGUUGAGAGUCAGAGAGGCAGAUGUGCCUAAGACAGCUUUCCGGACCAGGUAUGGGCAUUAUGAGUUCUUAGUGAUGCCGUUCGGGUUGACUAACGCCCCUGCAGCAUUUAUGGAUCUCAUGAACAGGGUAUUCAGUGAGUUUCUGGAUCACUUUGUCAUUGUGUUUAUCGAUGAUAUCUUAGUGUAUUCCAGAGAUGCAGAGGAGCAUGCCCAGCAUCUGAGGAUUGUUUUGCAGACACUGAGAGAGCAUGGUUUAUAUGCCAAGUUCUCGAAGUGUGAGUUUUGGUUACGGAGCAUUGCCUUCUUGGGACAUGUGGUAUCAGCAGAGGGUAUUGAGGUAGACCCCAAGAAGAUAGAGGCUGUAGUUAACUGGCCCAGACCCAUGACAGUGACCGAGAUUAAAAGCUUUCUGGGACUGGCAGGUUACUACAGGAGGUUCGUUCAGAACUUCUCAAAGAUAGCAGCUCCUAUGACCAAAUUGACUCAGAAGAACCAGAAGUUUAUCUGGUCAGACCAG